GCCAAGGUUUAAUAAUAGGUGCCAUCUCUCGCGCUGGCGCCCUUUGUAUUGGACCAUGCUUUUGGCAUGCUAAACAACUUUUUGCGUACUGAAUGCAUAGUUCUCCCAUCUUUGGCCAAAAAUAUCCACUCCUAAUAAUUAACCAUCUCAUCCUUUGGCCAGCUUGAUGAGCUCCACAUAUCCCUUCGUGCACUUCAGCCAUGAUCGUCUUGACUUCUUGCAAACUUACACACUUUAGUAAUACACCAUCAGGGCGUUUCUUAAAUAACUCUUCGUCUAUUAGUGUGUAAUUCAGUGAACAUAACUUUGUUUUCCUACUAAUCCCUCCAUUAGGUUCUUGAAGGAACCCUUUAAUCUCUGUUCGCCAAUCCACUGCAUCUCCAUCUUGUAUACAGUGAAGUUCAAUUUUUCUCGCCCUUCUUUGAGUUACGGGCAAUAUGAUUCCGUAUUCACAAGUAGACUUCCAAUCCAAGAUUUUAGAGUAUCCUGAAGCCAUUUGGGCCAACUCAUUCGCCACAUCGUUAUAUAUCCUAUGAACGCAUUGAAGUUCUACUUGAUCGAAUUCCUCUAAUAAUUCUUGGGCGAUCUCAUAUUGACUUAUAAUGGAAUCACUUUGGCAUUUAAAAUCACCAAUCAAUUGAUGUAUCACCAAUUGAGAAUCGCCCUUAACGAUCACGUUUCUUACUCCCAUUUCUAUCAUCAGUUCUAGGCCUACAAUUAAGGCCUCGUACUCGGCUUGAUUGUUGGUGCACAUUCUGUCUAAGGUGAAUACGAAUUUGUAGCAAAUCACUAAAGGAUUAAUUAGUGCUACUCCUACUCCUGCACCUUUAUAGGUCUUUGACCCAUCGAAAUACAAUACCCAAGGUUUUAGUCCGAACGAGUUGAUUUCUAAUUCGAUUUCUCCAGGCAUGUCAAGGCAUGGAUGAUCGGCUAGGAAGUUAGCCAAAGCCUGAUUUUUGACUGUCUUUUGAGGUAUAUAUUGUAUUUCGAACUCUGAUAAAGCUAGUGUCCAAAAGCCUACCCUUUGGUGUAAAAUAGGGCGCGAGAACAUAUAUUUGACUAAAUUUACUUUAGAAAUUCAAUAAACGGUUACGGGCCGUAAAUAAGCCCUUAAUUUUGUACAUGUGAAAUACAGUGCUAGACACACUUUUCAACAGCAGAGUAAUUAUAUUCACAUUUCGUUAACCGUCUACUCAAAUAAUAAAUUUCCCUUUCUUCACCAAAUUGGUCUUCCUGUGCGACCAUUCCAGCUAUUGAUUCCUUUUCAGCCGAUACAUACAUUUCCAAUGGCAUAACUCCCUUAGCUGAAGUUGCUCCUCCAUUGAAGCUGGUGAGGAUGACUUCUGUAGGAAUCAUAUCACCCUCUGUUUUUGCGAGCUUUCUCAUCAUUCUGGAUGGAAUGGUGUUUAUAGCUGCUCCAUUGUCGACAAGCACUUUUGCCACUGGGACGCCGUUAACUAGAGCUUUAACGUAUAAUGGCCUCAGGUGUUUUGUCAACUUCAUGGCUGGCCGUUUAAAAACAACCUUUUCGGCAGCCUCUAUUUCUACCUCUUGCUUGUUUUCUGUCGAAUUAUCCCCUUGUGAUAGGUCGACGUGUAGUAUGUCACGCUGAUCCUCUGUCUCCUGAAUCUCCUUCUUGCUUUUUUCUAAUGCUUCCUCAUCAGUUAUCCAACCUGUGGGAGGAGNNNNNNNNNNNNNNNNNNNNNNNNNNNNNNNNNNNNNNNNNNNNNNNNNNNNNNNNNNNNNNNNNNNNNNNNNNNNNNNNNNNNNNNNNNNNNNNNNNNNNNNNNNNNNNNNNNNNNNNNNNNNNNNNNNNNNNNNNNNNNNNNNNNNNNNNNNNNNNNNNNNNNNNNNNNNNNNNNNNNNNNNNNNNNNNNNNNNNNNNNNNNNNNNNNNNNNNNNNNNNNNNNNNNNNNNNNNNNNNNNNNNNNNNNNNNNNNNNNNNNNNNNNNNNNNNNNNNNNNNNNNNNNNNNNNNNNNNNNNNNNNNNNNNNNNNNNNNNNNNNNNNNNNNNNNNNNNNNNNNNNNNNNNNNNNNNNNNNNNNNNNNNNNNNNNNNNNNNNNNNNNNNNNNNNNNNNNNNNNNNNNNNNNNNNNNNNNNNNNNNNNNNNNNNNNNNNNNNNNNNNNNNNNNNNNNNNNNNNNNNNNNNNNNNNNNNNNNNNNNNNNNNNNNNNNNNNNNNNNNNNNNNNNNNNNNNNNNNNNNNNNNNNNNNNNNNNNNNNNNNNNNNNNNNNNNNNNNNNNNNNNNNNNNNNNNNNNNNNNNNNNNNNNNNNNNNNNNNNNNNNNNNNNNNNNNNNNNNNNNNNNNNNNNNNNNNNNNNNNNNNNNNNNNNNNNNNNNNNNNNNNNNNNNNNNNNNNNNNNNNNNNACCGGCAAGGUUGCGGCCUAAAAGUCCUUCCAACAUCCGUUGGUCUGAACUGCCUUUCAAAAGGCGGUCCUCUAUAGAAUGAUGUACCUCUUCCUCUGCCAGGCUGAACGUUUUUGAAGAAAACAGGGCGACGAGGAUGCUGCCAUGUCUCUGGUUUCUCCGUGUUUCCAUUUACUUCCCUUUUACAUCUUGCACACAGGACAUCUUCGUCCUUUUUUGGUUCUUUUCUCUUGAUUUGUUCAAAGACACUGGGAUGUAGUCUAGGAUCCUCUUCUCCAUCAUCUAUGACCAACUUGAAUUUUUGCAACUUGUUUUUGAAACCAGAUGUUACCAUGUUCACUCCAAGUGGCUGUGGAAAAAGAUUUUCAUCCACUGCCAUCUUCUUCUUAUCGUCGAACGUAAUUCGUNNNNNNNNNNNNNNNNNNNNNNNNNNNNNNNNNNNNNNNNNNNNNNNNNNNNNNNNNNNNNNNNNNNNNNNNNNNNNNNNNNNNNNNNNNNNNNNNNNNNNNNNNNNNNNNNNNNNNNNNNNNNNNNNNNNNNNNNNNNNNNNNNNNNNNNNNNNNNNNNNNNNNNNNNNNNNNNNNNNNNNNNNNNNNNNNNNNNNNNNNNNNNNNNNNNNNNNNNNNNNNNNNNNNNNNNNNNNNNNNNNNNNNNNNNNNNNNNNNNNNNNNNNNNNNNNNNNNNNNNNNNNNNNNNNNNNNNNNNNNNNNNNNNNNNNNNNNNNNNNNNNNNNNNNNNNNNNNNNNNNNNNNNNNNNNNNNNNNNNNNNNNNNNNNNNNNNNNNNNNNNNNNNNNNNNNNNNNNNNNNNNNNNNNNNNNNNNNNNNNNNNNNNNNNNNNNNNNNNNNNNNNNNNNNNNNNNNNNNNNNNNNNNNNNNNNNNNNNNNNNNNNNNNNNNNNNNNNNNNNNNNNNNNNNNNNNNNNNNNNNNNNNNNNNNNNNNNNNNNNNNNNNNNNNNNNNNNNNNNNNNNNNNNNNNNNNNNNNNNNNNNNNNNNNNNNNNNNNNNNNNNNNNNNNNNNNNNNNNNNNNNNNNNNNNNNNNNNNNNNNNNNNNNNNNNNNNNNNNNNNNNNNNNNNNNNNNNNNNNNNNNNNNNNNNNNNNNNNNNNNNNNNNNNNNNNNNNNNNNNNNNNNNNNNNNNNNNNNNNNNNNNNNNNNNNNNNNNNNNNNNNNNNNNNNNNNNNNNNNNNNNNNNNNNNNNNNNNNNNNNNNNNNNNNNNNNNNNNNNNNNNNNNNNNNNNNNNNNNNNNNNNNNNNNNNNNNNNNNNNNNNNNNNNNNNNNNNNNNNNNNNNNNNNNNNNNNNNNNNNNNNNNNNNNNNNNNNNNNNNNNNNNNNNNNNNNNNNNNNNNNNNNNNNNNNNNNNNNNNNNNNNNNNNNNNNNNNNNNNNNNNNNNNNNNNNNNNNNNNNNNNNNNNNNNNNNNNNNNNNNNNNNNNNNNNNNNNNNNNNNNNNNNNNNNNNNNNNNNNNNNNNNNNNNNNNNNNNNNNNNNNNNNNNNNNNNNNNNNNNNNNNNNNNNNNNNNNNNNNNNNNNNNNNNNNNNNNNNNNNNNNNNNNNNNNNNNNNNNNNNNNNNNNNNNNNNNNNNNNNNNNNNNNNNNNNNNNNNNNNNNNNNCCCCCCAAGUUAGGCAUACCACUACUACUACUUUGAUUUGGUAUUGUAGCACCUCCUUGGUUUGAAGUAGAGGGGCCAGAAAGUGGUUCUACCCCUUGACUUGGAUUUGGGACCGAAGGAUUAUGUCCUACGAUCGUCCUAGUUUGAAAGUGACUUGCAAGAGGUAUUGCCGGUUGACAUAUUUGGCCCACUAACUUGUUCAUUGUUUCAUUCAACGUCUUUAGUUGUUUGGCCAUAUUGUCAUAGUGUGCAUUACCACUUUGUGUAAAUCUUUCCAUAUUAUGAAUAUUUCGAAGAUUUACCUGUUCAACGACGUCUUGCGUGAGUUCUCCAAGUAAUGCACGCAUGGUUCGAGGACUCAUCUUCGUCAUUGGUUCGUAACGACUGUUACUGCUCUGAUUUUAUCCAUCUGUUCGUGGAGAGGCAUGUUGCUCCUCAUAUCGCUCGAUUACAGACUGGGUUCCUCCCUGACUUGCUCCUUCCUUGUCGGAUCGCUGAGGCAUAUUGUUUCACCUUUUGCACCUUCAACACCUAACACCACCGUCCCACUGGGCGUGCCAAAUUAUUUCGCGCGUGUUAAUUCGCUAACAAUUAAAGAGGAUCAGACGAUUGUGUAAAGGACGAAACCUCUUGAGACAAAGUCCCAAAAAAGGGUGUUCCUUUUAUUGGCGAUGAACUUUACAAUUGGAAACGGAAAACAACGUGCCUCCAAGGGGCGUAAGCACACGAGUUACAGAAAAGGAAGUGUUUAAGUCUAAAAGCUAAAGGAAUGAAAAUUACAUGUUCUCUGUUCGAGAGUUUUGGAUUCGGUCCUUUGCUUCUAAGUUCUUUCUCCCUUUUAUACUUCAUAGGCGAUCCCUUUGUGAUUAACUGCUCUAAAAAACUGCUUGAUCGCCCUAUAACUACCCACUUUCUUUGUAGUGGCCAUUUUGUCAUGAAACUGUCCUUUUAACUGCUGCCAUUAUCUCGCAUCGUUCAGCCGCUUUCGAUUGAACCCCUUGAGUCGUGGAACGUGGUAAGGUUACUUUAGCAACUGCCUCAAUAACUGCAUUUCUUGAUAAUCAUAAUGCGUUAUAUUUGUUGAUACCUUGGGCGACUUGAAGAUUUGGGCGAGACUCCGGGCGACCGUAUGCCACUCUAUUCGUUCAGACUCUGAGCGACUUGCAAAUUUGGGCGAUGGCGUUACCGCACUAUUGGGCCCCUUAUUUGGGCCUUCACCUUGAUUCGUUCAAUUGGAUUUCGUUCUUUGGGCUAUCUGAUUUGGGGAUCCUCCAAUUGGGCUUUACUCUCUGGGCUGUUCGAUUUGGGCUGAAUUUUUAUGUGUCAACAGUAUUGACACAAUCAAUUUUCACAAAGGUCUUACCACUAUAAUGCCAAAAACUAUCUCAUUUUUCUAUUGAGAAAUAAAUGUAGAUUUUCAGCCAAAAUUUAGCUAAAAUACCUAAGAUUUUUCUCUGCAAAAACUCAUGCCCAUUAACAACGUUGAAGAAAAAUUAGUAUUCCUUCACCAUUCACGUCUCUUCAUCGACAUUUUCAUAGUUAUCAUGCUUAUGUCAAUGCCUAUUAUGUUACAAAAUAACACUUGCCCUGUUAGCUCCCAUUCAUUGCAAAUCCUUUUUUUUUGGUUUGAGGGUUUCAUGCUUAAUCCACCAGUGCCACUACCACUGCCUCACCACCUCCCAAACUUAUUGUCACAAUUUCUCAACAUUUAGACUGCUCAUUGUAAAGGAAAGUACAAUUCUCACCAUACGGACAUCCUUCCUUUGUAUAGAAUUUCUAUCAAUGCCUCCAUAUAUAACACAUUUGUGCAUCCUUGCCAUUUGCUAUAAUCGGAAUCAGAAACUCCUCCCUCAACUUUGAUGACACUCCUCGUUCUUCGUAAUUUCUGGUGGUGCUUGUGCAACCAAUUCUUGAUAGUGGGAAGCAAAACAUAGAUUCGUGGUAGGAGUUACGGGAUUUCUAGCUUUGCGGGGUUUGUAAGGUUAUAGGGUUUGAACGUAAUUAAUACGGUAGUUAGGAUUUUAAUUAGUUUUAGGGGGUAUUUUCUAAUUUGUUAUUUUUUGAGGGUACCCUGCCUAAUUUUCCCUUUUUUAAAUUUGUCUCAGAGGUCAUUGGACCUUCAUUUAUUUUUAGAUUUCAAUACUUUGUCAUAUAUAUGUUGGGAAUCUACUUAAAUGUGCGCAGCGAUUAAUUAAAACAUAUUUUGAUUCCCAUCAAGAAUCUCUUUGUGUUUAGAUAGAAAUUGUGAAAAGAUUGUACAUUUUCCAAAUUUGUAAAUUUCUUUGCUAUUCUUUUCUUUCCAGCAAUCUUGAUUUGCCAUCCACAGUUGUCCAAUUGUCCAGCCUCCAACGGUGAUCCACAUAGAGAACAAGAUUGUAGGAUUAGGGUUUUCUUCUUGUACUAGCAAGAAUAAUGAAUUCUCUACCAAAUUAUAAACCCUAAUCAGUUAUUUAUAUAAGCCUAAACCGGCUUGGCCUGACCCGGUCCAAUAUUUAAUUAAUACAUUUAAUUAAAUUCGAUCCGUGAAUUAAUUAAUCCAAUUAAUUAAUUCGGGCCUAUAAAUAACCAAUCCAAUUAAUUAAUUUAUCCAACGCUUGUUAAAUUAAUCAAUUGACAAAUUACAAAUUUUCAAUUUUAUUUUGUGUGUGACCAAUUGGAUUCUCGAUCACGAUACCUAACGAUAUGAAAUAUUAUUUUGAUCUAAUCAAAAUUGAUAAAGUAAAAUACCUUUUUAAUUUAUCACCAAUCACACUCGCCGAAUGCUAGAGAUUAACCACUGACACUCAGAUAGUUAUCCAUGUGGAAUCUCUCGGCGGGUCUCUAAUAUUCUGUUCUAUAACAAAAUAUCAACGUAUUCAUUUAAGUGUUACCACACUUUAGCUUGUGAGAUCAGUUACUUAUUUCACAAGUAAGAAAUGCCACACGUGAUGGUCUAUCCAUAAUAACGAUAUCCGUAUCUCAUUAUUUCUUACGACUACGGACGAUUUAAGAUUCAAUCAUAUGUAAGUUGUAUCUUACAAUCACAACUCCUUGUGAUUAACAAAUUACGAAGAUUUGAAUCUAUGGACUCUAUUAUUUAAUUUAAUUGUCUAUUAUUUAAAUAAUAGAUCUACCAUUAAAUUGCAUUAAUUAUAUAUCAAAAGUAUUUAUGUCCAAGAUUGAUUGGUCCUAGGGUAUAACACUUACAAUACGGUCUCCUAAAUUGAUGAAAAUUGCUUAGCCGACAACAAUAUAUUACACUAAUUCUUCUAUGUAAUCAUUGCGGUAUACUUACCUACCACCAUUCCAUACCAUAAUAGUGUUCAAAAUGAACAGGCAUUUUGGCUUUUAGCCUUAAUCUAAGGACAUUGUCAUGACCAUUAUUUAUCGUUUUCAAUUGCAGGGUGCCACCUAGUUGUUCCGUGGAAGAUUAGUAACUAAGAGACUGUCAAUAAAGAAAUUUCUAUCAGUUCUGGACACGAUAGGUGACACAAGGUGGCAACAUGGUGAAUUUAAAACUAAAAUUAAAGUUUAAUGACCCAAUUAAAAUUUCACUGAAAGUUCAGUGACCGUUGAAAUUUGAGUAAAUUUAACCAAUGAUCACUGAACUUUACACUUGAUUACUACUUGCUCACUCAUCUUUCACAUAUUACUGAAUGCUCAUUCAUUUUUUCAUAUAAUUACUCAUUCAUCACUCGUCUCUUCAAAUAAUUGGGCGACUUUUACGGCAAAUUUUGGACAACUUUCGACCACAAAGAAUGUCGAAUUUUGAUACCGUUAGAAAGCCCACGAUGUCCUCUUCAAUUAUCACCCAAAAUCUCAUUAUAACUCCAAGGGAUUCGAUCGAAAAAUUGCCUUAAAAAUUGCCCAAAAAUUUUGAAAAUCUGCCCAGAUUUUCAAAAUUUUUGGGCCACUUUUAAGGCAAUUUUUCGGCAACUUUCGACCAUCAAAACUAUCGAAUUUUGAUACCAUUGAAAAGCCCACAAUGUCUUCUUCAAUUACCAUCCAAAAUUUUUUCAUAACUCCAAAGGAUUCGAUCGGAAUAAACCCACAAAAUCAGCAUCUUGAAAAGGCGAAAAUCUGGACAAAGUUCGGGAUGCUGAUUUUGUGGAUUUAUUCUGAUCGAAUCCGUUGGAGUUAUGGGGAAAUUUUGGAUGGUAAUUGAAGAGGACAUUGUGGGCUUUCCAAUGGUAUCAAAAUUCGAUAGUUUUGAUGGUCGAAAGUUGCCGAAAAAUUGCCUUAAAAGUCGUCCAAAAAUUUUGAAAAUCUUCUGGGCAGAUUUUCAGAAUUUUUAGGCAACUUUUAAGGCAAUUUUUUGAUCGAAUCCCUUGGAGUUAUAAUGAGAUUUUGGAUGGUAAUUGAAGAGGACAUCGUGAGCUUUCCAACGGUAUCAAAAUUCGACAUUCUUUGUGGUCGGAAGUUGUUGAAAAUUUGCUGUAAAAAUCGCCCAGUUAUUUGAAAAGACGAGUGAUGAAUGAGUAAUUAUAUGAAAAGAUGAGUGAGCAUUCAGUAAUAUGUGAAAGAUGAGUGAGCAAGUAGUAAUCAAGUGUAGAGUUCAGUGAUUAUUGGUUAAAUUUACUCGUUGAAAUUUACCCUAUUUUUCAAAUGAAUUAUUGGAUUAAAAAAUGAGAUUGGGCUUAAAGGAGAAACUUCUGGCCUAUUUAUUUUGAAAUGAUCCAAAUGCUUGAUUGGCCUUUUCGAAAGUUGAUCAGCCCUAUCCGUAUUAUGAAUUAUAAGAAAUUGACAGAAAUACCACUAAAUGAGUUAAGAAACAAUUUCAGCAGUUCGUUAUAUCUUUUCACCAUUAUCUCUAUUUAUUUUUCAACAGUGCUACAUGUACAAACAGAUUUGCCACAUGAAUUUAUAGAAUGCAGAAGACAAUAUAUCAUUGAUAUUGGGAUAAAAAGCAAAGUUAAAACGUCCAAUAAGGUGCUGCCAUCUCAGUAUCUGUAAACUGCCACGUACAAUUCAUAUAUACGAACAUCUUUAUUCUUUGUUUUUAGGUUUUACGCAUAAAAAAUAAGUUUAAAAUAAAUUACAAAAUAGUUAUAACUACUUUAUCUCGGUAACAAUGUUUUUGUGAAUCUUAGGUCAAGUUCAAACCCCAUGAUCAAGAAUUUUUAAUUUUUUUAUUACAAUCAUGUCAAGAAAUAUUUAUUUGUUCAUUUUUUGAUCAUCGUCAAGAAUUGAUUUUCUCGUUAUUAUGUAUUUUUUAACCUAAACCCAACAACAUUAUUAAGGCCUGUUUGGGAGAGAUUUUAAAGAAAAUCACUUUUUUCCAAAAUUAUAUUUAACCACACGUUUUAUAAGAUUAAUAAUUUUCCAUAUUUUUUACAUUCCUUAAAUAAAAUUAUUCGCUACAAGAAAAGAUCUCUGCCAAACAAACGCUUAACAUAAAAGCAUCUCCAAUACACUCUCUAAACACUAAAUAUUCUCUAUUUUAAAGAGUGAAUCUUAAAAAUAAGCUCCAAGAUAUUUUAUUUUAACUUUUUAAAAUAAAGAGUGAAUUUUGAAGAGUCAAACUCACCCUCUAUUUUUAAUUAACAAUGGUUGCAUCUAACAAAUUACAAAUUUCAAUACUCUACUACUUAAACUAUUUAAAACACAUUCAAAUUGAUUGGCUCUUAAAAUAUAAAAAAAUAUGUUAAAUAAGAGAUGAGAAGAAUUCAACAAAUGUUCAUUAGAAAAAAUAAAAUAAAGAGUAAAAAUAGAGAGCGGUGUUGGAGUGAUUUAAAAAAACUUACUUUUUAAAUUUAAUAAUGCUCUAUAUUAUGAAUAAAAUGCUCUUAAUAAAUAGAAAAUAAAGGGUUUCUUGAAAAUAUUCUAAAACCUUGAAAAAUCCGCAAUAGGAGAAGGAUUGGAGUAAUGAUCCAUGAAAAUGGGCCCUAUUUUUCCUUAAAAUUUUGAAAUGACACCUAAUAGUGUCUAAAUGUAAUUAAAAUAAUAAAUCAUGUCUAAACAUGAUUGCUAAAUGGUCAUGAAAACUAUAUUCUCGCAAUCUAUAAUAAUAUUUUUCAUUAUCAUCAAUCUUGAAUGAUGUCAAAUAAUCUGUUUUAUAUGUAGUCUGCCAAAAUUUGAUGAUUCAUAUCUACGUCUCAAAUUUGUCUUACAACAAAAACUCUCAUAGCAACAUGUUCAUCACCACCAUCUUCCCGACGCCAAUCCGUCGCAAAGUAUCGUUCCGGCGACGGAGGCCGCCAUCAGUUCGCUUAGGAGGUAAGAAACUAGCUCGCAGGUUCAAUCUAGUGAGACUUUUGAAACGAGUAAAACUGCGAUGGAUGAAACUCAAAUACUCGCGUUUGCUUAAAAAGCUCAAAGAAUAUUAUCGUUGUCUCGUGGAGAACCUCAGUAGUGUGGAGGCAUAUCAUCAGAGAAUGCUAUUGGAGACAUCUUUUGCCAUUCCUGUCAUGGGCAUUUCCUUCAAUUCCUAUCCCAGCAAUUUAGUCACAUUUUAAGGUAUAUUUCAAAUCAUUAUUCGCACUGUAAUACAAGUUUCUUCUCCUUCAGUUUUAUUUAAGUGCAUAGAGCAACUGCAUGCUCCUUUACAAGAAUAACCAAAAAAAAAAAAAAGGGGGGGGGGAAAAAAGAAAAGAAAAGAAAGAAAAGAUAGUCUGGUUAAGGUGACAACUUUUUCCUUAAAAUAUAUAUAAUAAUGUAACUUCACUUGUCUCUGGAAAAGUUAUUUUGUGCAAAGAAGAUGAUGAUCAAAUUUCACCCAUGAUUUCAUAUAGCAAAUCAUGGGCGUGGUUUCCUUGUGACAUAACGUUCUCCUCCAUGAUAGCUAUCUUUAUCGAGUCCAGUUCUUGUUGAGACUAUUAAGGUUUGAGGGUCAUCAGAAAAUAUCAACUGUGUUAAGAAGAAUAAUCCAAACCCCUAUAUAUUAAUUUAUAUUUUAGCAUUUAACCAAAGUAAAAUUUACCCUUUAAUAUGCUCCCACAAGAUGAUUGCUCUUCUGAACAAAUCAAUCUUGAAAUUCAUAUACUUAUUUUAGUUUUUGUAGAAUCAAAUUGCUCAUUGAAAUUUAAUGGACCGUUCCAUGUUAAAAGUUAAAUUUUGUUAGGAGUAGUAGUCCAAACUAGGGGUGUAAGCGAUCCAAUUUUACCGGUUUUUGACAAAUUUUCAAACCAAAUCGUUUAAACCAAACAAUUUUGAACGGUUUGAAAAAAAAAUCAAAUCUAAACCUAAUGGUUUGGUCCGGUUUUAAUCGUUGGUUUCGCCGUAUAUUUUUUUGUCUGUCUACUUUUAUGACAUUAAUUCACUGAAUUCAAUAUAUAUUUAUAUUUUACUAGUUUUAAAUCUAAAACAAUCUAAACCCUCGUUUGAACCAAAUUUUUGGGACAAAAAAAUGAAAAUUUAGACCAUUAUCCCACAAGUUCAACUGCAUUUGUUGAUCUGUUGUUUCAUGCGUGAGACCAAGCCUCCUCUCCAAUGAUCAAUUUUCUCAUUAUGAUAACAUGAUAAAUAUGCCUCGAACAGGGGCUAAAUAUAUCUACUAUAAACUUAAACAUCUAUUAAAUCAAAGUGAAAUCACAAUAAACUAAAAUAUAGUUUUUUUUUUUUUCAUUUUUGUUCAUCUUUUUUAAGCUAAUUACUUUACGAUAACGUUACAAAACAAGUUUACUAAACGAGAUAUAAGGUCCAAAAAAUAUAAUGAUUUCCAAUAAGACCUCGUGAUCAUCAUAUCUGAAAAAAAGUUACUGAUUAAACAAAGAAUAACCAACCACAAUAAUAAUGCAGUUGUUUAUAAUAUUUAAACAUAACAAUUACAUAAGCUUACGUUUGUAUGUUACGAAACACAUUUAAUUUUAGAUUCUUAUCUCAGUUUGCUCAAAAAAAUUAUUGAUUUGAAAUUUUAUUCAUAGUAAAUAUUAUCACCAAAGGCCUAUGAUCUCUUUGUCUCCGAUUUGGUGUAAUGGACUACAAUUCAACUUUGAAGAGGUGUAAAAAAUUUGAAGAAAAAGUGUGGUGUCGGUGGCUCAAGACCGUGGCGGGUGUCGGCUGGAGUUUAUCUGAAUUUUGAAGAGGAAAAUGAUUUUUGAUAGAUUAUGUUAAUUUUGAGAUCAUUGAAUAUAAAUUAGGAUUAUUAGAUAAUAGUAAUAUAUAUGUAUCCGAAAAUUAGAAAUUGACAAAAAUACCCACAAAUGACAAAACUAUUGAAUUUUACAUAUUUGGAUAAAUUUUCAAAAAAUUUCAUUUUUUUUUAAUUUUUAUAUUUUUUUUGUCGAUCUGGUUUGAUUUUAAACCGCAAUUAAAAUUUUCAAACCUAAACCAAAUCAUUUUGACCGAUUUGAUUUGGUUCAAAACUAUUUCGUUCAUCGGGUUCACGUGGCACCAAACUGAUGAUUUUUAAAAUGCGAUUUUGACUCGAUUUUCCGAUUUUACGAUUUUUGCUUACAACCAUAGUCUAAACUCUUAUUUAAUAAUCUAUUUAACAGAUGUAGAUUUUAUCCCUCAACAGAUACUUGCAUAUCUUGGCUUCGGGUCAAUGGGUUGCAAUGGUCGAGUUCCUCGAGGACAAGCCAGCUGCUACUUUUGGUGCCCGUGGAUAUAUGGCAAGUUCAAGUACUCAUCGAGUCACCUUUAUCAGUAUAAUCUUUGUUAAGUCUUGAUAACCAUAAAUAAAAUAACGAGUAAGGAUUACUUCACAAGCACAAUCGACUACCACAUCUCCUAUUUAUGGCAAUGGAGAAUCUAACUUGAAUAAUAUCGGAAUAAUUUUUUCCGGAAAAUAAGUUGUGUACCAAAAAAUUAAUUGAAUAUAUAAAUAUAUUAAAGUUAAUUCUUUCAGUACACAAAUCAUUUACUUUCAUAACAAUUUAAAAGUCGUGUAGCUUUAUUUUUGUGUAAGUACUAUUAACAUUAUGCACAGUGACGGAGUUAGGAAUGAUGUCUAGUGCUGAUGGAAUGUAAUCAAGUUCGGACGAGUUUUCUACUGUGAAUUUAAUCCAAAAUAUUAGCAUUGUAAUCCAAAAUUUGUAUCUUUGGUCCUAUAUCACUUGGAAGUUGUGCAACAUUAAAAGCUACUUUAUUCGAUAUCUCCCCCAUCAAUAUUUUCUACAAGUGAAUUGUUUUUUUUUUUUUUUGAAAGAAUAUCUUCAUUUACGCUUCACACUAAAAUAAACAAGUGACAAAUAAACAAUCUUCCAAAUUAAACGUGACAAUUAAACAAUCUUUUAUUUAUAAAGCUUUUAGCCCCCGUUUGACCCACAUUUUGUAGGAAUGAAAAUAGGUGGAAUAAUGUUUUUUUGAAAAAAUGAGUGGUUGAAAAAGAAGAAUUUUUUUUUGAUUUACAUGUAAUAUUAUUUUAUGAAAGAUUGUGUCGUUGAAAAUAAGAAAGAAAGAAAUGAAAUGAAAAUUAAUAGGGGCCAAACGGAGACUUAUAUAGUCACCCUAAAGCAAAUGAAUUUUGCUACUUUGCCCAAAUUUUUUUAUCCGAAUGGUUGACAACCUCUCACAUGCCGUGGAUCCCCCGUAAAUUAAAAAGUCCCAAAAAAAAGUGGGGCCCCCACCCUUUCAAGAGUUGGUCACCUCCCCUGUCAAAAAAAUUCGGACACUAAAACGGAAUUGAAAGCAAGUUGCUCUUCCAAAUCAACGCAUUUCAUUCCAUUCCAUUCUUUUAUAGUUGCUUAUAUCAGCCUCCCUAAAUUGAUUAGAUUUCGAUACAUUGUUAUUCAUUAUCCGGAAGAUGUACAAUUCGCACUCAGAAGAAUGGUCAUGCAUUAUCCAGAAGAGCCAGAAAUUGUGUUUUAUCAUAAUCAUGGUUUAGUCACCAUUUUAUGCAACUUUUAGUUCAUUUAGAGGAUGAUUGUCUUUUAUCGCAUGAGGAACCUCGCAAGUUAAACUGAUCACUGAAUUUGAAGAUACAAUAAUUUGAUUGAGACAAAUAAUGUGGAAAAGUUCAACUGAACAUUAAAAUAUUAAUCGAUUAAAGCUCUUUUAUUUAUUCAUUCUCUUUAACGUAAGAUUUCAAACUAACUUUCAGUCUAUGCUGCUCCAAAAUAAGAAUCUUAUUGAUCAUAAAGAACAAGCCUUUAUCCAGUUACUAAAACUACUAAAUAUAUAAGAUUAUUAUAUAUAGAGAGAGCUUUUCAAGUUGUGUCUGAACACAAAAAUGACCAUCCUUUUAUAAUUAUCCUGGAUAUGAAAUCAAAAUAGCUGAAUCUCUAUUUUAAAAAGAAAAGAUCAAUAACUGAAGAAUAAAUUAAAAUAAUAAUGACUUUAAUGUUUAAAUCUUUAAUUCAAUUUUUAAUUCUUUUACAACAAAUUUCAAGAAUAUACAUGUUAACUUUAGUAAUUGAUUUUUGCAAAUUCCUUCAUAAACAUAAUCAAUAGCUGGUUUAUUUAUUUCUUUUUUGAUGUCUCUAUGCCUGAACUUUGUCUUCCAAAAUAUUAUUUAUGAAAUCUUUUGUUUUUUCCAAAUUGCACGGAUCAAUUUCCAACUGCCUUGUCUAUUCUAACAGAGAACUCACGACUAGAUAGUCCUUUACAUCGUAGAAUUGGAUAAAACUAUGCUAAAUUUUUUUCAACAUUUCAAGUUAUCAAACUUUAAUUUUAACUACACAUUUCAUAAAACUUAUGACUUUUACCAACUUUUUGAUCACAUAUUUCGUUGAUUUUUAUCAAAAUCUGCUAAAACAUCUAUCAAAAACUAUCGAACAUCCCCCGUAUGUGUAGUCACUUUCAAGUAGUUAAAUGAUUAAUACAUUAAUUCAACUACAAGCAUAUAUAGCUCGAAAGGUAAUGCACUUUCUUAGCACCAAUUUAAUUGACAGUAAAUAUCAAAUGUUACAAUUGAAAAAGGAUAUGGGUCGGUUGAAUAUGCCCUUGAGGAGCAUAGGCACAAUUCAUUUAGUAAAGAGACACUAUUGUGUCUUUUUCUAUUACCUAUUACUGCAUCUACUCUUGUGAGGAAGCUUAUCAAGAUGCUAAUGAAUGAAAUAAAAGCCAGUUCGAACAUGGUAAGCACCACGAUAAAUCCAAAUCUGCAUUAUUUCACUCAUAGUGGAUUCUACCAUAUCUGACAUCCCAGUAUUUCAUUAAACGCUAACGAGGAAGAAAAAAAAUUUCACCUUUACAGAAUUACAAAAGGUUACAUAUCAAAUAGAAAGAUGAAAACAAAACCUUUCAAAAUCAUUGUAACUUAAUUCUCAGCUUCGGAGCUUUUCUCUUCUUUGGGUGGUGCUAAUUGUCUGGUAAGUCGAGAUCUUGUCCAGGGAUCUAAGGGAGCCCUCUGAGAAGGUUGCGGAGUUGGUGGUUUAGAUUGUCUAAGUUCAUUUUCUCUAUCUAUAAACCUGCCAGGAAACAACAUAGAACCCAAACCGGGAAAUACAGUUAAAAUGCAUUCAUAUUAAUGAGCUGUACGAUAGAUAUUCAGAAGAAGAUGAAUUUUCUUCUAUAAAGAAUUUCUCUCCAUGAUUCGUGAAAUAUGAAACUUCUUAUGACUUUAAAAGCUCAAUUAUUAAUAUGUGAACAGAUGACAAGCUCGUGCCUCCAUUAACAGAAGACAUACUCAAUAUAGGCCAUUGGUGCAGCAUCACCAACUCGAAUUCGGGUUCGAAGUAAUCUCGUGUACCCACCAGCUCUCUCUCUAUAAAUGAGAAAUGUAUUAACUUAUAUCACAAUGAGAAGUAAAAAAAAUGCACGACAAAGUAAACAGGUUUGAAAUUCACUUGUAUCGAUAAGCCAACUCCGUGAAUAACUUGUGAAUGACAUCAUCACCACGUACAAAGGCAGCAGCAUGCCUUGCAGCGCUGAGAGUACCCUAUAAUUUGGCUUGUGUCAGAAAACUAAACACUAAAAAAUGCACUUAGAUAUAGAUAUUAUGAAAAUUCUGUCUGACUUCUAUAUAAUCAGAGCUUUUUUUAUCUAAUUCCAAGAAAAUAUUUCCGAAGGUUCGAAAGGUUGAACUACUGGUUUACCAUUAUGCUAGAAAGCAUAGAAGUAUAUUAUUAUUUCACUUUAUCAAACAUUUGUCAACUCAUUAUCAUGGAGUUCGAAUAAAUUCAGGCUUUUUCUUGAAACAUGCUUCAGCAAACAAAUCAAAGUAAUAAUAGUAUACAGCACUCUGUUCGUGCACGUUGAUAGAAUAACCUAUCAAAGAGAUUUACAUAUUUACAUUCCACCAAAUCUUGUCAAAAACAAGUUAUAGAAGAAAGUAAAAUAAAAUGUGAGUAUACAUAAAGAUGAGAACCAACUAAUACAAAUCAGAAUUCAAUAUCUAGGGCUAUACAAACUUAAAAGCUGGGGAUAGCCAAUUCAUGAACCUCAGAAACAUAAUACCAUCUUAUCCUUCUUAACAUUGCAGAAUGACCGUAAUUACAAAAUGUAAUUGCAUACCACCGAUUCACAUUAGUUUAAUGGUGAAAGGAACAAAUUAAAAAAAAUAGAACUUGUUCAAAUUUAUCCUUUGUCAUCAGAAUCUGAAUUAAUAAACUCAUUUAAAUCAGAGAACAGGAAUUACAAACCUCUUUCCCAAGCUGUACCAUAUUAUCAGCAAGCCUCCGGACUUCCUUUGCCUACAAAUUAGUUAACACAUAGGAAAAUGAAAGAAAUUAAACAUGGCAAUUCAUGUAAUUAAUGACCUAGCCCAAAGUACUAACACCAUAAAGCUUCUUAGCAGGUUGUCCAUCCGACAUUCCAGUAAACAUAAAAUAAAAAAGUGAAACCAACAGAUAAAAGUAAUAGUUAAAUGAAAUAAAUGUAACCAAAUUCUUGAGUUAUACAUAUUUUUUAAUAAUAUUAAAAAAUCAAGAAUUCGACUUCAGUAUCUGCUAAAGAUGAUCAUAGAAAAUGACGAUUAGUUAUACAGAAAACAAAACAGCUCUUUCCUUUUUCUUACCUCAUUAUUUGAGGAAGUGGUGGCAGUCAAACCAAAAUUAUUAGAAUCCUAAGUACAUUUAGAUAACAUUUUUCAAUUAAACAUCAAUGCCCCGAUAUACUGUCACUCCCAAAUUAUUUGGUAUCUUUCUGGAAAAAAAAAAAAUUUCUGUUUUUGUGUAAGCCAGCAAAUAUGCUAAUAAAAAGAUUAUAUUUUAAAUUAAAUCUAAAAUUUAAACCUGCGUUAAUUCUAAAAAUGGUAUAUGAAAACGUAGAAGUUUACCUUAGCAAUAGUGGUUUCAAUGCGCUCGUGCUUCACCAACUGUGACACCAUUGUCCUGUGCAUAGAAAAUUAAACCCUUAAAAAAUUUCAAAGCAAAGAAAAAUCCCAAAAAAAAGGAACAAAAAGGAGAAAAAAUUAUCUUACCUGAGCAUAGACAUUCGAUGACCUGUAGGUCGAUUAAGCUUCCUGAAUUUUGUCAUUUUCGGGCGGAGUGCGAUGCUGAAGUUGAAGAGUGGUUUGAAUAGAGAUGGAAGACUACAGGUGUGGGCUUAACAGUCAUCUAAGCCCUUGUUAGGUUACCAUUUAUCAAUUAUUUAUAAUUGGUCAAACCAUUUUUGUCCACAUAUUCCUUGGAGCUCACAAGUGAUAUUUACUUAUCCACCACAUUUCUAUUUAUUUAUAAUCUAAACCAUUUAUAAACAACUCCCAACCAUGCUUUGAAUCUAAUGGCUCAAUAAAUGCCCCUUUCAGGCUCAUUGUUCUGUAUAUUACAAUAGUGAAACCAAAAUUGACCAAGUUGGUUUGAUUAAAUGCCAAACUAUGCCAACUUUAUUUUAAUGUGAAAGUGAAACCACCCAAACCAGUUUGCUUAAAUCAGUUAUGGCUUGGGCCCAAAUCAGAGAACAACUUCUAGCAGAAACUAGAUUGCUUAAAAUUUACACUCCCCAUCGAUAUUAUAGAGUUAACUAAUUUAAAUGGACACUGAAGGUCAUUCCUAUCUUACACCAUAUUCAAUAUUCUCCCUCAAUUCUUCUACUUUUAAGCAGCCAUUGGGAAUCCCAUUAACUUUCUCAAUGAUAGAAUCUUCUCCGGCGGUAGGGAGUAAAAAUUGCUGUUGGAGACUAUUUUCAAACUCUGUCCCAUUUCCAAAAAUGGGUACUUAUUGACAUCCUGACAUCCAUCACACUCAAUUACCUAAUAAAAUCAUAAUACUACUCAAUACAGUUCUUUUAUUACUACAACAAUGUCAAUUGUCCAUUCUUUCUUAAUAGCAAAACAACUAAGCCAUUCAUCCCACCAUAUUCCUAAAAUUAUAAAGCACCUUAUAUAGGAUCACAUUAUAUAUCAAUAAAUGGUGUUGUCUACUACGUGAUAAUAACUCAUUAAGUAUAUGUUCACCGACAAAUCUCCAAUGAAUGACACAUACAGUCUUAUAGCACCAAACAGAAAAGAAACUUUGAAAGAGAGGCAGAUAUUUUGCAAGAAAAUACACCUUGAGUGGAAAUAAUGCGAAAUCGAAUUUUUUCGACAUCAGUAAGAAGGGUAACAUAAUUGUUUGCCAUUUCCAUUUCUACACACUUUUUCCAACGUUCCUUUUAACUAAAAUCAAUAUUAAAAUAAAAUAAAAAAUAAAAAAAAUCUGACGGAAUAGCAAUUCAUAGAACCCGUCACAAGAAGAAUCUGAGAACAACCCAAGAAAAAAAAAAGUACAACAAUAGAAAAUUCAAAUUAAUCUUCAAAAGCACCCAAAGAUUCAAUUCAGGGACCCAAAUUACAAAAACAUUUCUACUUCAGAACAGCACAUUAGUACAUCACUAUAAAUGCAAACAAUUUACUUCACAUUUAUAAAAAACAACGAAUGACAAUGUUUUCCACUUACCCAGAAAAUUAUAUAAAGCAUAAAAACGCAAAGCCAUUAAAUCAAGAAACAAUUGAAAAGAUCAGAGAGAUUCUUGAAUGUUUGUAUUUCUAAAGGUAAAUUUUUAAUUAUUCUAAAAAUUUCUAAUACUUCUUUUAUGUCUUUACUAUAUGUUCCAAUUAUAUUAUCUUCUUCUAUAUAUGCAUCAUCUAUUGUAUUGUCAUUUAGUCUUUAUAAUUUAUUACCAUUCUACUAUUUCCUCUAAUCAUUUCUGAAUGUUUUCUUAUUAUAAAAGCUGCUGAUAUAUGAAGACUAUCUGGUUUUCUUAUUACUCAAAUUUUAUAAGUUCUUCUGGAUAGAUUUUUAGAAAAUAGCCAAGAAAAAAUUAUAGCACACAAGAAUCAUUAACCAAUAUAUAUAUAUAAAGAAAAUGAAACAAAAUAUAUUUGCUGAAAACAGGACACUCGAAAUCCCAGUUAAGAUCAAAUAUAAUUAAGCCAAAAACAGGUAAGUAAUUGUACAUAUACAAUCUCAGAAGCCAAAAAUGGCUCCAAUUUCGGACGAGAGCAGAUAGCGGAGAACGUAAAGAAUUGAAGAGCAUGGAGAAGAGUUGAGAAAUUACCCAGAGGCUUGAGACUUUGUUAAGAUAGCAAGACACUCCUCCAGCUAGUCGGAGAAAGGCGGGAGAGACAAUUGUAGGGUUCAACCAGCGAGUGAAGAAAUUGGGCCGGGUAAUUGGUUUCUCAUACAUAGGAAGAGUACGUACUUUAAGCCAUGUUUGUUGCUCAUUGCUUUAAAACUAUUUCUGAUACAGGAUUAUUUUCUAUUACCGAUCAUAUGUGAAGCCUCCAAUGAAAGCCACGUGGAGGUACAACACAUACAUGUGGUAGUCAAGCCAGACAAUAGAGGCACUAUCUCUGUAAAGAUCCGUUGUCGAAGUGCUCCCAUCCCUUAAAAUCGACCUCAAGGCAAACUCUUUCUUGGUCGAGGCUCCAUCCUAUUUUCAGUGAUCGAAGUGAUUGUAUUUUUUAGAGCAGGUCUGAUGAGUGUAUCUUUAGAAAUGACUUAUGUGACUUUUGCAUUAAUGGAUGUCAAAUAUGUCAGUUAGAAAAGUAAGAUGGUUGACUAUAUAUAUAUAUAUAUAUAGCAGCUUUUGCAACAUUGUGAAUGAUGGAAAAAUAUACAUUCAAACAUACAUUAUUAUUUUCUCUCUAUGAAUGCUCGUUUAGGCCAUCCUUUUUAUUUUUUCAAUUGCUCUCAAUCGUGAAUACCUCAUUUCUAUAUCCACUUAAGUAAUUGAUCGUCAAAUCUCCGAUUGAGCAUCCGUAUAAAGCCCACCAGAAUCUGCUUACGUGGAAGUCUACUGAACUCGAUACCUGUUAGCGUAUUUUUUGGGGUCAACAUUUUCAAUUACACAUUUAUAUGAUAAAAUAUUUUGCACAUAAAUUCUAAAUAUUUUACUAUUUUUUAAUCACACAUUCUUUUAAAAUACUAUUUAAAACUUCUUCUUCUUCUCCGUUUUUAUUUAUUUAUUUUUAUUUUUUAAAUAAUGGGCACCAAACAGGGAUAAAUAUGUGCUUUCAAAAAUAAAAAAAAUUCAUGAAUUUUUUUUUAAAAAAAUCAUGACAAUAACUCAAAAUUAUGGUUACAUUCAAAAAUCGUAUAAGGUCAUAAUAGCAAUUUAUAAGUCAUAAUUACAAACUUAGUCACGAUCAUACAUUUUUUAAACCACAUAUUAUUUAUUCAUAACAAAUUAUCUAUUUUAUUGAUUGCAUAUUAUUUAUUGAUUAUAAAUUAACCAUUUUAUUGGUCACAAUUACUCGAAUAAUUGGUCACAAACACCCUUCAUCACAUUCAACUCCACCAGCACCACCGGCAAUAUUGUCACUAGUACCACUCCACCAUCGUCGCCACCAGCAAAAAUCAUCGCAAAAUUCUAAAUAAGCAUAUCAAAUAAGGAAGAAACAACCCCUAGUGGAGAAUGAGGAAGGUGAGAAGUUUUGUGACUUUUUUUUUCGAUAAAAAAGGAAUUAGGGUCAAGGAGUGAGGUGGGGUGGAUGAAUAAAAAAUACCAAAUCUUCGAAAGAAUGAACUUAAAAUUUGAUUUUUGUAUUGAUAAGUUAAAAUGUAAGGUCAGGUGUAAUUUUCACUUCUCGUAUUUGCUUAGCUAUGUUUGGUAAGGAUUAAAAUCAAAAUUUUUAUAAAAGUUGAUAAAACAUGUGGUUGAAAAAUUAUGAAUCUUAUGAAAUAUAUUGUUAAGACUAAAAGUAAUACUAUUUAGCAGUACUGGUAUUUAACACCAAUUUAAGUUAGCACUAGUGAUGUUAAAUUAUUGGUGCAUUUAAAUACGGAUAAUUAUGGCUCAAUUAAUAAGACCUAUGAUAUGAAAAUAUCUAAAUUGGUGUUCAAUCCCACCAAUGAUAUAUAACAUUAUUAUAAAAUUAAUUAUUGACUUUAAUUUUAUUAAAAUCUAGAUUUUAAUCCCUACGAAUCAGGGAUUUAGUGUGUUUUUAAGAUUUUAUUUAGUUUUAAAUGAUUAGAUUGAAAAAGAAAAAUUGGGUUGAAUUGGGUUUAUUGCAAUCAAAUUAAAACCUUAUUUAAGUAUCCUAAUUUAUACAUAUAUCUGCUUGUAUUUUAAGAAUUGGAAUGGAUCGAUCGAUUCUAUUGGAAAAAUCUGGUACCAAUCAAAAAAUUGAUCUGAUUGAUGGUCGAAAGAGUAUAAGUAAAAGAAAUUGGAAUAGCUAAACGACAUCAAAAAUUGAGAACAGUGUGACCCGACAACGACUAGCCGCUUGUAAUUGUUUAGCCCUUGUUUGGCUACUGUUUAUAAAUUAUUUAUAAUUGAUCAAAUCAUUAAUUGAUAUUCAUAUUUCACGAGAUCCACGUGUAUUGUUCACUUAUCCAUAGGCCAGUGCGUAGUUUGAUUUAAGUCGAUUUCAACUCCAACUUGAAACUACAAUCAAAUUAGUCUAUUGUCAUGAAUUUCAACUUAAAUCAACACACUCUAGCUUUUAAACCGAACCGAAACAAAUCAAAUCGGUUUGGUUAGUCGGUUUGCACUUUUAAUCUAAAUUGAUUUUUUUUUAAAUGUCGAAGUUUUGAGCCCACUUAGACUACAAUUAUUAAAAAAAAUAAAUAACUUUUAUAUUACAAGAAUUAUUAACUAACAAAUAAAAUCAGGUUAAUAAAGACAAAUAUACAAAAAAUUUAAGAAUUUUUUUAUGUAUUAUGUAGCCUGACUACCUAAGUAGGCAAAAAAAGUAUAACACAAUGAGCUUAUGAAAGAAAUUUUUUAAUGCUAUUACUUACCGAUAACAUCAUAGAUCGAAGGAAAUCGAGAUAUGAUUAUGAGAUUAUGACUUAUCUUUUGAUUUUUUUCCCCUUAAAAAAUAGAUAAACAUGUAAGUGGUUGGGUUGGUUCAAUUAAUUAGCGGUUUGAGACUUCAAAUCAUGAUUGAACCGAUCCACCUUGAUUUUGUUUAAAAGAAAACCAAAUCAAACCAAUUACUUGUGUCAAAUCGACCCGAGUAGGUUCGGUUUGAUUUGUCUGAUCAUUUUUUCAAUUUUUUUGGCCCAAAACUACUUAUCCACCACUCAAUUUUAUUUAUUUAUAAUUUACUAUUUUAAAUAACUCACAAACAUGUUCAGAAGCACAUAUAGAUAUUAUAUAAUCGAUUUAAAUUAUAAAUAGAUUAAAAAUUAAGCAUAAGUGAGUAGUACUUUGGAUCUCUCGAAAUGCGUAGAUAAAAAAUGACUUGAGUAAUUAUAUACUUAGAAAAAAUUUGUUCUUCAAAGUUUAUAAUUCUAUUAUAAAUUAUAGAGAAAAAGAGAAGAAAGUAGAGAAAUUAAUAGACUUGAGCGUGUAUUUUAUUAAGAAUCAAGAUGCAUAUUUAUAGGUCAUGAUUAAGGCUGCAUAGAUCCAAUGGUCAUUCAUAGAUAUAACUUUAUUUACCUUGAUUGAAGACCAACCAUCAAUUGUGUUAAAUUAUUUAUCGUAAUCCCAACUAAUAUUUAUCCAAAGUUUGGUUUAACACACUAUUUGCUUCAAUUAUACUAUAGCUUGGAGCAUUUCCUUUUACCCUUUAGGGAUUCAUGAUAAUUUCAAUGAAGUACUUGGAUAUACAAUAGGUACUUCCAAAAGUAAGCAUUCAAAUAAUAUAGAAUAAAUGAACAAUUUAUAUCGAUAGUAUGUAAUGCAUAAUCAAUAUGAUUAUUUGUUUGACUUACAAUAAUACAUGAACUUAGUGAUUAUGUAAGUCUAUUUUAACAUUUUUCCAUAAGGUCUCCCACUCGAUAAUAUAAAAAUGCUAACACAUGAAAUUAAUAAGGCUUAAUGUAAUCAAGAUUGUAUAUUAACAAUUAAAAAAGAUCACUAAUCCCUUUUUUCAUCUUUCUUUGAUGAUAUAAUAAUCUUAAAGACAUGUGCUACUUCGAGAGCAUGUAAAAUAUUAUUAUUUAUUUUUAAAUAAUUUAGAUGACACUUUUUCAGGGUAAUAACUUAAUAUUUUUCUGAAAUAUUAAAAUUAUAAUACCAUACUCUUCAAGAGUAAAUAAUGUUCUUCCAAAAUAUAGUUCUACUUCAGGAGCAACACAAAUUAUCAUUUAAAUUACGUAAGGAUUUACUCACCAGAAGCAAUAUUAUGACAAGUUUUAUGAAUUUUAGAUCUCACAAAAUUAAACUCUUCAUGAGCAAGUAAUAUUCCAUGGAAUAUUAAUGUAGUGUAAAACCUGUAGUUAAUUCAACAAAAAUUUAUAGCUUAAUAUUAUUCUAAAUGUGAAGAAUUGUACUUCUUCAAGAAUGAUAGCAAAAAUAUUCUUUUAUAAUAUUUAUAUUGUAAUAUUGUGCUUCUCAGGAAUACAAAAAAAUAUUCAUCAAGAAUAUUAAUAUUAUUUUAUACUUCUUUAGGAGCAUAAACAUAAUGAAAUAUCAUUAUAAAUAACCUUACACAAUUUGAUAUAUGGUAUGAUAAAAAAGAAAAACUUUUAAUUAAUUCGCUUACUUAUAGCAGAAAUGGAGCAACUAAAUUGAAGUAAUAUUUAGAUUUGGUAGAUAUAGAAAUUUUCAAGUAUUCUACAAACUUAGUAGCUCAAAUUCUUUUUAGCCUCUGUAACUAUUACUUGGACAAAAUAGAGUUUUGGAUAAUGAUUUAUUUUUAUGUGCAAAGUAUUUUAUUGUUGUUGUCGAUUUUGUUUCCCGUAAGUGUACGGAUUAUAACAAAUAGUAAGUGGACCUAAGAGUCCGGAUAUCGUUCCCAUGAGGACUACUAUUUAAUAAUUGAUUCAAUUAUUCCUAAUUUUAAUUUGAUCGAAAACAAACAAGGAAUUAGAUGUUGUGAUUUUUGAUGGAUUAUUUGAAACUAUGUGUGGAUGCACACAAAGAGUGAUCUAGAACUUAAAAUAGUGAACAAAUAUUAGGGUAGAAUAAUUUCACUUAUUGAUCAUGUUUACAUUCUAAAUCAAGAUUCGUAUAUCAUGUAGUGUUCUGUCAAAUUCUCUUAUUGUAUACAAUUUACCUCUCUUGAGUUCUCAUUGAACCUGUUUAAUUAAUUAAAUUUCAUAUUUCUAUGCAAGUCCACUUGGUUAAACGAGUUCUUUAUCCUAGAAAUUCAAUUAUGUCCGCAAUAAUUAGUAUAAGUAUCUCUACUCAUUAUACCAAUUUACCGAAUUUUACUACAUGUUUAAAUCGUAAACUCAUAUUUCUAUUCGUAAAGGAUUCACAAACUCAUCAAAUUAGUGAUCAAGUAAUUUAAUACGUUCAAUUCAUAGUAAAAUUAACUCAUGAAAGAAUAAAGAACAAUAAUCUUAAAUAAAUUAUGUAAAGGGUCCUAAGUAGGCUACAUUAUUCACCCUAACAAUAAAUUUAAUUAUUCAUAAUAGAGGAAGAAAAAAAUAAAAAUAGUGGAGUCCAUCGCUGGGUUUUGAAUUUAGAUGUGGAGGAGUGGAUGAAUCUUACACCGCGUUUUUCUUCUUGUUCCAAAUCUUGAUUUCAAACCCUUGAAUUGUUGUUUUUCUCCUCUUAAAUUUGCUCUCUUUAAUCUCAAGAUGUUUUUCUUGCCUCUCAAUGUGUGGAAUCCUCAUUCUCAAAGUGUGAAAAAUUGUAUUUAUAAGUGCCUCCUCACGUGUGUAGAAAGUAGUAUUUUUAUGGAUUUUAAGACUUAUCAAUAACGCGCCCUAGACGCACGGCUCUGGUUUGGUGGUGUCGUGUCGUUUAAUAUUUUUAUCAUAACUUUCUGUCCUGAUAUCCAAUUAAGGCGAUUCAAGAUAGGUUGAAAAGCGAACUCAAAGGGUUACAACUUUGCUUCAUAUAUCAUUUUCAAAUUCGAUCAUUUUCUAUGUCAAAAUCGAGCCCCAAUAUAAGACUGAAAACGAUGCAUAACUUUUGUUCAGUUGGAACUUGAUAUGUGAUUAUAAUUUGAUUACAUUUAAUCCCUUUGACUUUUUACUAUAUCCAAUUGACUCCGAGCACUCUUAAAUCUUCAUCAUGAGGUCUAGCACAACUUUUGAGUAUUUGCACUUUAAUCCUUAAACUUUGAACCUCUUACAAUUUGGCCAUUUUCUCCAAUUUUGCCCACUUUUGCUUCUUCCAAUUUCUUAUACCAUCAUUGAAUUUUACAUAUUCAACAUCAAAUGCAAUAAUUUAGACCAUAAUUCUUCCCAAAAGUAACUAAAUAUCAUCAUUUUAAAGUCUUGAAUAAGUGUAUAAAAUACACUUAUCAAUGGUUGAAAAUGAGUUCUGAAAUAAUGUUGUCAAGCAAAUAUGGCUUAUUUCUUGUUCGUAUGACUUAAUUAACGUUUCUUAUCAUAAUAACUAGAUCUUUUCAUUUUUCUUAAACAUAAAGAAAAAAAAGGAAUUUUAUUUAAAUUAAAUAUAAAAGAAGAUUAAUUUUUGAUAACUUAGUUGACUAUAGAAUUCUGUGCUAAUAACAUUUUAUAAGUAUAGAGAAAAAGCGGAGAAACUAGAAAAUAGACUUAUGUGUAUUUUAUUGAGAAUCAAAACUAUAUUUAUAUUUUAUAUGUUAUAAUUAGGAUUGUAUGAAUACAAUGGUCAAUCAACAAUAUUACUUUAUUUAUAACAAAUUCAAUACGAUUUUGGACAAGUUUUUUGGUAUUCAUAUUUUAGUAGUCCACUAGUAGAUGUUUAGAUUUUACUUCGAGAUUUAGAGAAGGUUUUUGGUGUGAAGAACUUUGUUGGUCACCUAACUUAAAAGAGGUGCCACUUUAAUACUAAGCUUACAAAGUUAUUUUUAUUAAUUCACUAAUCACAUAUCCUUUGUCGAUUUAAUAGAUUUGGUGAUGUAUAUGAUGACAAAACUUAUGUGGCAACUGAAAUUAUUACGAACAAACUUUGUACGAGGAAUCACAACUAAUAAAUUUUUAUCGAGUUGUCAAACUACUAAAAAAAAUAUCAAAUAAAAUAUAGAAAGAAUGCUUUUCAAGUUGUGCCUCAACCAAAAAAGACCACCCUUGAUAUAUACGAUAUUCAACUCCUAUAUUGAUGAUUUUUUGUCAUUCAAAUAUCAUUAUAAUCAUGAAAUUAAAAGGGUUGAAUUUAUAUUUUAAAUAAAAGAUCAAAAACUGAAGAAGAAAUAAGUAAAAUUAAUUUGAAUGUUUACACCUUUUAACUCAAUUUUCCAUUCGUUCACAACAAACUUUAAGACUAUACAAGUUAUAUGUACAAUGCGAUUAUAAUUUAGGCCGGUGGACCGGUUCAAUUAUAUAUUUAAUAUUUAUAAUUGCGUGGCGAAUUUCAGUGCACUAAUUCAGUGUUCAUCUACUGGACGGUGCCAAAUCCAAGUCCUUUUAUGUCUGUGUUCUUAUGAAUCUCAUUUAAAAUGACAAAAGUUAUUAUGUAUUCCACACCGCAAUCCACCCUAACCCUAAUUGAUUUUCCACUCCAAACAAAAGUUCACUUCUUCGCACCUGCUGCUUCAUUCUUCUCCGAUAGCCGCUUCAUUCCACAUGUGGAAGGCAACUCUUCGACGCAGCAACAUGCACUCACAGUGAUGAUGCGCAUCGAUGCUGCUCACCGAUGUUAUAAGCAGCGUUCAUUUAUAAUAAAUUUUAAAACUAUACACAUUAUGUACAUUGUGACCAUAAGGACAGUGGACCGGUUCAAUGAUAUAUUUAUAAUUGCACGGCAAAUUUUGGUCCACUAAUUUCUCAACAAAUUUUGGAGCACUAAUUCAGUGUUCUCCAUUCUAUUGGACGGUGCCAAGUCCAAGUUUAUAGAUUGGACCGACCUUUUUUAUGUCUGUGUUCUCAUUUAUAUGGUACAAGUUUUUUAAAAUGGUCAACUUUAUUGAUUUUGGGUUUGAAAGACUUUUCAUUGGUUAAAAGAUCAAUUUAGCUUUAUUAAAAUUAUUACUUUUUUGCACUUUUUCUCUCGAAAAAUGCGCUCAAUAUAACCAUAGUCGAGUCACCAAGCAUUGAUGUAAUAGAUUGUUGUCUUUAGAGAUGACAUACACAUUUGUUUAUUUUGACGUUGUCUUAAAAGAAUUCCUUCACAUGUGUCACAUUUAGAUAUUAGUUAGGAGGAAUUUGUCAAAGACAACAUUUAAAUAAAUAAAUAAAUUCAGAUUUAAUAUUUUAGAUGAGACGAUUAACUAUUGUAGCGUGUGAAUGUGUGGCGUAAUUAGUGGAAACUAAUGCUGUUUAUGUGUGAUGUAAUUAGUGGAAAAAAUUGGGAAUCUUUUUGACAUUUAGAUAGCAACAAAUUCUUUUGUGACUCUGAUACUAUAUUAAAAUUAUAAAUUUAAAAUAAUCGAAAUAGAAAUAUUGAAAGAAUUGGAUAAUUUAUGCAGUUUUCAAUAAGUAUAUGACUAUUUUUACAGAGUUAAUAAUUGUUUUUCAUAUCCUUAUUUAGUACUAAAUAGGAUCUUGAAUAUGGUAUAAAUAAAGAGAGAACAAAAUAGCAGUGUUCUAAAAUGUGUGCAUAUGCUUGAUAGUUUUUGAAACGUCAUAUAUAUGAGGUAUGCGUGUGAUAAUACGGUCAAUCCAUUUCAUCGACCGCAUAUGCACAGUUAAACAUCCAAAUGCAACAGUUGUAUUAAAAAAUGUGUCAAAACUACUUUAGCAAAUCUCAACCCAUUUUUAUAACUUUUAAAAAGGAAAUUGGGCCAAACAAACAUCAAAUUAACCCAAAUCACUCAAAUCCAUAAAAUUGUAUACAACAAUUUAUAGGGAUUUGAUGUUUGAAAAAAAUUCAAAAAUUAAAAUAAAUUUUUCUUAGAGUUGCAAACUAUCUAUGUCGAGCUCAAGUCUCAUUCUUUUUCGGUCUUAUCUAGUUUCACUAGCAAGUGAUGCUAGUAAUGAAUAAUCUUGGAUUGUUAAUGGUUGUGUUGACGAGAUGAGGUUGAUAAUGAUAUUUUACCAUUUACAAGAGGUAAUAAAAACUGUCAACUUGCAAUAAAGGAGCUCGAAGAAAAUAAUUUUAUAUUGGAUGAUACGAAAGAUGACUUGGAUGAAGAGGAGUUUGAAUUGAAAUCCGAUUAAAGUUAGACAAUAGUUAGAAUUUUUUUUAAGUCGAUAUUCGUGUCUAAUUUAAUUAUAGGAUUUGAUUACCAAGUAAUUGCAGUAUUUAUGAUUUUAAGCAUUAUGUUUUUGUUAAAAUUUUGAAGAAUAUGUAAAAAGUUCAAUAAUUGUAGUAUUUAUAAUUCCGAGCAAUAUUUUUUUAAUGAAAAUUUGAAGAAUAUGUGUAAAGUUUAAGGAAUACAUUAUUUUAUUAAUUUAUUAGUUAUAAUAUUUAAAAUAAUAUUAAAAAUUGGACAAUGCGUAAUUACGUAUACACUUCGUAUUGACAAAUAUAUUUUUGUAAUGUUUGAUAUUCGAUCGAAAUGAAUUGAUUGAUUUACCAAACAAAACAAAGAAAAAUUAUUGGUACAAUUGAUUCUAAUAUAUUGACAAUAAAGCUAACUUAUUGUUAAUUUUAAUGUAUCUUUGACUUUUUAUAUUUAUUUAUUUAUUUAUUUAUUUUUAUAAUGUUAUACUAUCCAAUCGUGAUAAUUGUUUACUUGAGUGGCAAAUGGACCGAAACAUCCAUAAACCGUGUCAUGUUUUCCUCUGUUUCUUGCGUUACAAAGAAAGCAGCAUAUAAUUUUUUAUUAUUAAAAGUUGACAAAAUGCGCCUCAUACUCUUAACAAAUUUUGAUUUUCUAGUUGUCAAAAAAGAAGAAAAGUAAAAAGCAAGAAAUCAAUGUCAAAUUUCAAAUUUCAAAUAAAGUUGAUGUUUGACUUAAAUUUCUAAUAAAUUAUUCCAUCGUCGUUGUUUGACAAAAAAGACAUUGCAACUUGUUUUAUUAACCAUGUAGCCUGGACAUAGGAAUUGAAUAAGUAUUUUUUAUACAUACAAGGGGCGUAUCGUGAUUCAUGAAACUUGAAGCUGUUGAAAGCUAAUUUAAGAAUUUAUUUAAUUUCGCUUUUCAUGUGAUAUUUUAAAUAAAAAAUCUUUUAAAGAAAAAUAAAUAUUUUUUAAUAUGAUUAUCCUUUAAUUUUUGUGAAGAAAUUGUAAGACUUUUCAAAAAUUUUAGAAAAAGAAAUUGAUUUUAUUUUACAAACCCGAUCAAGAUCUAAAUAUAUUAGAGAAUAUUUCACAAUAUUACGAACUCGAAAACCAACCACUUGUAGGGAUGGCAACGAGUUGAGCCGGCUCGCGAGCCGAAAAUCAAGAGCUCGAGCUUUUUGAAGACUGGCUUUUUUUUGCUUGCUCGGCCAAAAAAUCAAGGCUCGGCCCGAACUUUCGCUCGGACCUUACCGAGCCAAAACUGGCCGAGCCGACUCAUUUUUUCCCACUCCCUCCCCCUUAAAAAGGCAAUUGAUAGCUGCCUUUAUUUAAGGCAGCCUGCUGCUGCCUUUAUUUAAGGGCAGGAUGCUUUUUAACAAAUUUUUUUUGCGAGCCGGCCCGCGAGCCACACGGGUCGACUUGGGCUCGAUCCGGAACCCCAAGAUGGGGCUCAUCUCGAGCUUUUUGUGGUCUGAGCUCUCAAGCCUUUUUGCCAUCCCUAAUCACUUGACAUCAAAGUUUCAACCAACCUUAGGUUCGGAAUAUAGUACCAGUCUGUUUCAACAUUGAGCCUCAAAUUUAUCCAAAAUCCCUCACAAUGAAAUAGGCAAGUUGCGGUCACAUCUAUGAACCAGAAGAACUCAACUCCAUCACAAUUGAAUCACACUCCCACAGAAGAAAGACACUCAGACUUUUGAUUUCACUAAGAAAAUCAAAGAUCCAUCCAACUCGAAAGGGAAGAUGAAGAGAAACGAACAGAGAUUACACAAAGAAUUCUCUCGAUUAUGAAGCCCUCACAUUGAAGGAGAAAAGACAGAAUCAAUUAGUUUACGAACCAUUAGCACCGUAUUUAUACUAUCUAGCCUCACCAUAGAUCAAAGGAGAGAUCAACAGCUCAGAGCAACUUGCAACUUAUCUCACAAUGAGGGUAACUAGAGUCGCACAAUUGAAAUGCAAGAUAGGCCUGGACCUUGCUAAUGUGCUAGGUUUCGCUGGGCCUCUUCAGAUGAUAUUAUUGGGCAAUAGUAAAGUUUUGGGCCAAGCCCCUUUUCAUGUAGCUGAUGCUACCCAAAAUCAUACCUGAUGAUUUCCCGAGCUAGGGGAUCCUGAAUGAGCACAAUCAUAGUCUUUCGAUACCUGAAACAAAGGCAAAGAUGUAUGUUCUGGUCGCCCCUCCGAUGCUUAAGUCGGAAAGGGAAUUAUAUGUGUGAGGCUAUAAACUGGAAAAAUAAUGAAAACGUACCUGAAUAAUGUCCAAGGUUGGUAUUUAUAGGGGUAGGUAGUACAUUCCUGAUAGAAUUGGAAUGAGGUAGAUGUUCUUAUCUGAUAGAGUCCUCUUUGUGAGGAAUGUCCUACUCAUAAUGGAACUGUUUGACUAGUGGUAUUAGAGUUGAUAUAGAGUCCUUGGGGGUUUAGGUGUCAAUUGGUUGGGCAUAUACAUCUUGAGGAUCUCUUAAUGAACAAUGACCCGAUGACAUAUUCUCAAGGACAGUAAGAGGCGAGUUUCAUGGUUGUAUGAGCAAAGUUCUCGGGACAAAAUCCUCGAGGACAAACAUAUCUUGAGGACUUCUUGGCAGAAAAGUGAGGCAGAGCAUGUAGGUAGUCCUCGAGGAAAACAGUCCUCGAGUAUACAAUAUUGGUAUUAUCACUGACCCCCGUGCACUCCUCCUAGAGUGCGAGCUCUGGGAUAGGGUGCACAUGAGUUAUAAAUACAUUGUGGUAGGUUGCGUCGUCAAGAAACAUGGGCUGACGAUAAAGGUCGAUUUUGAUAUAACCGUUGCAGAGAGUGAGCUUGGAUGCAUGACAAGUGUCUUCGUGGACGGCCAUAGAUGGCGACCUUUGGCCUCCUUUUUUUCACCUAUAAAUAAUGUUGUCCACUCCCUCAUUUUUCACUUUUACCCACUGUAAAUCUAAACUCUACGAGUUCGUGCUCGAGCAAAAUACUUUGGAACUUCUCAAGUCGUCGGUAACUCCAGGUAAGGCUCGAGACUCUAAGUUAUUCCAUAAGCUAGGACUUAAGUUCAUUAAGUAAUGUCGAGUGAUAAGGGUGGUGAUCGUUCCAGUAGCUCGAGUAGUAGCGAGGAUGUAGGUACUUCAAUAAUACCAGUAGCUAUUCCUUUAGAGGCAACACUCGAGGCUCAGGUAAAUAUGAUCUUUGAGUAUCCCGACGAGUCUUGUAAGCUAAAAGAGCAUCUAGCUAUUGUUGCGGCUAGGGAGUAUGGCCUUAUGCCUAUUUGUGAUGUUAGAUCCCCUGGCCCCGAGGAUAAAAUUGUACGAGCUCGACGAGGGGAGUUUGUCAUUUUUAGGGAGACCCUUAAGGCUAGCUUGCCUCUUCACCCCUUUUUAUUGCUUUAUUGGUCGAGUAUGCUCGUGUAUUUCUUUAUAGCUUGUAGGUACUUAGAUAUCGAGCCCAAUGUCGACUUUUGUAAAUUGGUGUUUGAGCUUAAGAAGCAUCCUCGGUACACCUGUUUUGGCUAUCUCUCGACGAUAGGAGGGUUUAAAGUCCCGAGGAUGGCGAGUUAUCUAAAGGGGUGGUUUUAUGUUAUUGCUCAAGAACCCGACCUUCUUUUCUGGCCUGAUUGGGGGAUCCCCGACAUCGAGAAGUUCUGUGAGGUCCAGGUGCAUCCAAAUAUGUUGGAAGAGCAUAUGAGGAUGUUGGUGGGGCUCAACCCUUUAUUCUGGACCAUGAAGGAAAUUGGGGAAGAGAUGAUAGACCUGGUAGAUAUUAGAGGCGUCGAGGGUAGGAUUGUUCCCUUAUUUUUGCAAAAUAACUUAAUCUUGUGUUCAUUCUAUAGUGUUUGUGAUUUCUGUUCUUGCAGGUAUGUUGUUUGGUCCUCGAGCCCUUCGCAAUUUUGUCAACACAAGGGUUGAUGCCCAUCCACAGUGAAGAAGAAGAGUAGGAAAAGGCCUCGAGAGCCCCCAUUCGAGCACAAUAUGAGGGGGCCUGGCAAAACGUCUCGAGCACAACCUCAACCUUCGAGCCCGGUGAUGCAGCUAAUCCAAAGGUUCAUACUCCUCGAGUCGUUACUCCUCAACCUCUUUCUGAAGUCGUUGAUCUCCAGGAUGACACUGUUCCUUUGGUAAAUUCCCUUAUCGAGGACUUUUUGAACGUUGCCACCUCGUUCUUGGUCUUGUUUCCAUAUACAAGGAUGAGAUAAAGCUCGAGAAAAGGGAUGAAGGUCCUCAAGCUCCUUACUAUGAAGGUAAUCCUCGAGUAUUUGACUUGUAAAAGUUUUCAGUUUCUUCCUCGAGAUUAAUACUCUUUUUUCUUUUUCAGACUUUGAGUGUAGCUCGAGGACUUUCUCUUCAAGGAAUCGAGGAGGCCAAUAGAGUGGCUGGGGUUAAGAGCUCAAUGGGGUCUAAGGACAGGAGGAUCCUCGACCUUGAGGCUGAGGUCGAGGCCCUGUUGAAAGAGCGUGAUGACACAAAGAAGGAGGCUACGAAGGCCCGGGAUGACCUUGGUGUUGCAAAGGAUGAGGUCGAGGAUUCGAGGCUCAAACUUUUGCAAAAGACAAAAGAGUUUGAGAGCAAGCUAGCGGAGGUUAAGGAGAAGGUCUGGGAGGAGGUCAAAACCUCCGAGGAUUGUGACAAAAUCAAGGGCGAGUACGCGUCGAGGUUUCACGCUCUCAAGGAGGCCCGGGCCUUCCUCCGCGUGAAAUUACCCGACAUUAGCCCAGAUGACCUGAAGACAGUACCUUCUAUCAGUGAUACUCUGGAGCUUUCAGGAUAGGAGGAUGGAGGAGCAGGUGGGGAUGACAACGGGGAAGACCUUGAGGAUGACGACGUGCAGAUUGAUAUUUCCAACCUCGACCCUCCUCUUGGUCAAAUAGGAUAGUGUCCCCACUUGAUCUCUUGUUUUGUAAUUUUUGAAACAUGUUUUUUGCCCAACAAUUGUAAAAUGUUUUGCAAGUGAACGAACAUUACCUUUGUAUUAGACAUAUAAACUGUUAAUUAGUCAUGCCUGAUCUCGAGCACUUUGAUAUACUCGAGGCCUACACAUAUCUCAAGCACACUAACUUUAAAAAGAUGUAAUUUCGCAUGUAAUAGUCCUCAGGAUACCAUCCUUGAGGACUGCCAGUUUUGUCUCAAGCAUCAGGUUUUAAGGCAUUGCUUUCCCAUAAUCUCGAGCAUUUGUAGCAAAAAUCUCUAACUCCUAGAGUUAUCCCCGAGCACUUAUUUUUAAUCUAAGAAUUGCUUAGUAUUAUGAUUGAGGACUCUUGUUCGUAUGCAUCUCAAGAGCUAUCAAGGUUCGGGGCACUAUACUGGUGUUCCCUUCUUCGAGGUCUUGGGGGAGAUAUACCCACACCUCGAGGAAAGGGACAUAUUUUCAGGCGAGCCUUAACCUAAGGAGUUGUACCACUUCUCGAGGACUGUUCAGACCCCGAGCCUUGCUUACACGAUCUGGGCGUAGGUUGGGUAUUGACGUGCUCGGUAUGGGGUAUGGUCGGGGUUUUUACAUGGGCUUUCUUGCACGUCACCAAGCUUUAUGAGGCUUGAGCGUUUGCGCAGGGUAAGAGUUUGUGCGCUUGCACGGGGCAAGGCUUCAAAUUGCUUGCAUGAGGCAAGACUUUGUGGUAUAGUGAUCAUAUCAUCGAAGUUAACUUUAACUGUUAUAUACUCUAUAAAUUGACUUGGGGUGCAGGCCUGAUAAAUGAUAAGAAUUGAGUUGGUACGUAGGCCUGAUAGAUGAUAAAGUUGAAUUGGCAUGCAGGCUUAAUUUCUAAAACGUUGUGGGGUAAGUUACUUGUAAUAUAUUUUUAAGUUCUCGGCGUUCCAUGGUCUUGAAAGUGGUCUUCCCAUUGUAUCUCUUAAGUUGUAUGUACCUCCUGGGAGUUGGCUUAUGACCUCGAAGGGUCCUUCCCAAGCUAGCCCAAGUUGCCUGUAGCAUGCCCUGCAACUUCAGCUCUUCUUAACACAAAAUCUCCAACUUUAAAUCUCCGCGACUUUACCUUUCUAUUGAAGUACUUUGCUGUCUGUUCUGGUAAGAGGCCAUUCUUAAGGCUGCUUGAUCACGAACUUUUUCCAAUAGGUCGAGGUGUUCAGUGGUGCGUCCUUCUUCUUCGGGCUCAAGCCUUGUUUGGCUGGGUAACCUGAUUUCAUCUGGGAUCGUAGCUUCAACACCGAAGGUUAACAUGAAGGGGGUCUCUUCUGUAGCAGUCUUGUGGGAUGUUCUGUAGGUCCAAAGUAUAGAAGGUAAUUUGUUGGACCAAGAACCUCUUGCAUCUCCAAUCCUUAUCCGGAGGUCCUGUAAUAUAAUCCGAUUUGUGACUUUCUAGACCAUUACUUUGAGGAUGGGAAACUGACGUUAGACGGUGGUCGAUCCCUAGGUUGGAACAGAAAUUUUUGAAUUGUGAAUUGUCAAACUGUAGGCCGUUGUCAGUUAUGAGGACCUUCGGUAUCCCAAAUCUACAUAUGAUGGAUCUCCAAACGAAAGUUCUCAACUUAAACUCUGAGAUCUUUGCCAAGGGUUCAGCCUCCACCCACUUGGUAAAGUACUCAACUGCUACAGCUACGAACUUCAAUUGUCCCCUAGUUAUCGGAAAUGGAUCGAGGAUGUCAAUUCUCAAUUGCUCAAACGGGGCCGAGCAACUGAUGUUAGUGAGGUCCUCUGGAGGGAAAUGGAUAACAUUACCAAACCUCUAGCACUUGUCACACUUCUUCACAUAUUCUACGACAUCCUUCUUCAUGGUAGGCCAAUAGUAAUCGUACCUUAUGAGCUUAAAUGCUAAUGCCUGAGCUCCUUGAUGGUUCCAACAUACCCCUUUAUGAACCUCCUCCGAGGCUUGGGAGGAUUUCGAAGGCUUAAGGCACCUAAGUAUGGAAGUGUGAGGCUUCUGCAAAACAAGACCCCAUCAAUAAUGCAAUACCUUAGAGCUUUCGAUCGGAUGCUCCUUGCUGCUCGAGGAUCUUUUGGAAGAUUGCCGCUCCUUAUGAAGUCCACAAUUGGGUCCAUCUAUGAUGGCUCAUGAUCAAUGUCCAUGACACCAACAAUCUAAUUGAUGCUAGGCUCGAUUACAAUUUUGACAUAUACUGUGCUGUCAAGUCCAUCUAUUCCCAUGAACACCAAUCUCGAUAAGGCAUCAGCCUUGCAGUUGUCAGCCCGUGCAAUCUUCACAAUUUCACAACUCUUCAAUUUUCAUCGGAGAUCAUGAACUUUUAAGUAGUAAAAGCUCAUUUUUUCAUCUUUCUUAACAAAUUUUCCUUCAAUCUGCCCCACCACCAGCUGGGAAUCACUAAAAAUCUUGAUGUUUUCAAGUUCGAGAUUAAUGGCAAGUUUCAUGGCUAUGAUGACAGCCUCAUAUUCUGCUUCAUUGUUGGUUGCCUCGAAUUCGAACCUGAGUGCACACUGAAUGUCCAUGAGCAUGUCCGAGAUUAUGAUGAUGACCCCUGCACUCGAGCUCAAGGAGUUUGAUGCUCCAUCCAUAAGAAUUUGCCAGACACCUGUUAUAGAGCUUGAGCUCUCCUCUGGCCCCCGAGGUUUUGGGGUGUGUUCUACAAUGAAAUUCGCUAAGACCUGGGCUUUGAUAGGUUGACGGGGUUUGAAAUCUAUGUCAAACUCUCCAAGUUCAAUUGCCCACUUCAAUAACUUACCUGAGGCGUCUGGCUUUUGAAGGAUGUGUUUGAGAGACUGAUUAGUGAGCACCACAAUGGGAUGAGACUGAAAAUAUUGUCGUAACUUUCGUGCUGCCACUAUUAAGGCAAGGGCAAGCUGUGCUGCCAAAGUGUACCUUAUCUCUUUAUCAACUACGACUUUACUUACAUAGUAAAUGGGUUGCUGGGCUGUUGACCUCUUUUACCAAGACGCCGCUCACUGCAUUUUGAGACACGGCUAAAUAUAAAAAUAAAGUAUCCCCGGGCUCCGAUUUAGUAAGUAUAGGAGGAGAUGCCAGUGUUUGUUUGAGCUUUUAAAAAGCCUUCUCAUACUUCUCAUUCCAUUCAAAGCAAUGAUUGCCUUUGAGAGCUUUGAAGAAAGGGAAGCACCUGUUAGCUACUCGGGACAUGAACCUAUUUAAGGUUACCACCCUACCUGUCAACUUUUGUAUUUCUUUCUUAGUCCUGCGCGAUUCCAUUACUGCCAAGGCUUGGAUCUUAUCGAGGUUUGCGUCAAUCCUCCGGUGAGUUAUCAUGAAGCCCAAAAACUUUCCUGAAGCUACACCAAAUACACACUUCUCUAGGUUGAGCUUCAUCCAAUAUUUUUGUACCUCGAGGUCGGAUAUGUGUUGCUUUACCUUCUUGCUCUUUACCACCAUGUCGUUAACCUAGGCUUCAAUGUUUUUCUCUAUCAAAUCAGCGAAGACUUUGUUGAUGAGCCUCUAAUACGUUGUCCCAACAUUCUUCAACCUCAACCCUAUAGCAGUAUAUCGCUGAAUCAGCCAUGAAUGAAAUCUUAUCUUGGUCUUCCUUGGCCAUGAGGAUUUGAUGAUACCCCGAGAAUACAUCUAGGAAGCUUACAACUUAUGUCCGGAUGUGCUGUCCACAAGAGUGUCUAUCCUGGAAAGCGGUUAGCUAUCUUUUAGGGCACGCUUUGUUGAGAUUUGUAAAAUCAAUGUCGACCUUCCAUUUGCCAUUGGCCUUCUUUAGAAGAACAACAUUAGCGAGCUAAUCGGGGUAUUGGACUUUCCUUAUGAACCUCGCUCUCACCAGUUUGUCGACCUCUUCCUGAAUGACCAAUCGCCUUUCUGGCACAAAUUGGCUCUUCCUUUGAUUAACUGGUUUGGCCCUUGGGCUUAUGUUGAGUCUAUGGACUGCUACUUCAGGGUCUAUCCCUGGCAUAUCCUCGACCUUCCAUGCAAAAACAUCAAUGUUGCGGGACAGACAAUUGAUGACUUCAUCUUGGAGUCUGGCCUUGAGAUCUCGACCAAUUGUUACUAUUUUUCCAUGCUCAAGCUCAAACACCUCCAAUUCCUGAACCGGGGCAAGUCUAUCCCUAGGCUCGAGCUCAAGAUCGAGGUUUGAAAGUUGCAUGACGUCUGUACUUAUUCCUCGGAUGCUAGUAACAUAGCACUGUCUGGCAGCUGCUCAGUCUCCUCGAACUACUUUGAUGCCAUGACCUGUUGGGAACUUCAUAGCUAGGUGGAAAGUUGAUACAAUGACUUGGAUCUUAUUCAGUAGGGGCCUUCCCAGGAUGAUCUUGUAAGCCAUAAGUGUACUAACCACUUGGAAGGGUAUGAUCUCCGUCACUUGUGCAUUGUCAGAAUCCAAUGUAAGUGGAAGCUCGACGAUGCCUUCUGGGAUAAUGACCCUACUACCAAAUCCUUGUAGAUGAGUUUUAACUGCUUUGCGCUGUUUGGGAGAGAUCCUCAUUUUAGUUGAAGCCUCCUGUGAAAGUAUAUUUGCUGCACUCCCAUUAUCCAUUAGAAUCCUCUUUACUUCAAAGUUAGUCACAAUUGCAGAGAUGACCAAGGCAUCGUCAUGAGGAUAUGAAACUCCUUUCAAAUUCCUUGCCCUAAAAAUAAUGUCUUUGAGUUUAUCGUGGGAUUCCCUCAAGAUAUGAGCAUGUUGGCGGGCAUAUUACUUUCGCCCACUACUUGUGCCUGUCCUGGAUGCUAUGCCUCCAGUGAUAAUGUUAAUGGUCCCGACGGUGGGUUGAGCACUGCUUCCGAACUCAGGCUCUUUCUGAUUAUCAUGGUUAUUUGCUCGAGCAUUUAUCAUAACCAAUGUAAUUCCUUAAUAACCCUCUUUUGAUGAGGGCUUCAAUCUCCCACUGUAAGGCUUGACAAUCCUCCGUGGUAUGCCCAUAAUCCCGAUGGAAUUCGCAAUACUUGGUCCUGUUUCUUGUAUCAGGGGACGACUUCAUUCUUGAAGGCCAUUUCAACUCUUUCAUAUCUUUGAUCUCCAUUAAGAUGUUUUCUUUCGAGGUGUUCAACCGAGUGAGGGGCUUGGCGGCCCUCCAUUCUUGCGCUUAUCCUAAAUUCUUGCGCUUAUCCUAAUGAUGUUCUGGCUGGGAGAUGAGAUCAUGUUGCCUCAUGUUCUUGGUCUUUUCAUGAGAAGGACCAGCUCUCCUUGGAUUCAACGUUUCCUCCAUAUUAAUCUAUUUUACAGCUCGGGUAAGGAGCUCGGUCACCGUCCUUGGCGGUGUCUUUGAUAGGGACAUUUUGAAGGCUUAACACUUUAUGGCAUAGGUGAGGGCGAAAAUUGCCGUUGUAAUGCGUAGGUCAGGUAUUUGGAGUCUUUCCUUGUUAAAUCUCAUCAUAAAACCUCGUAGGGUUUCAUUUGGUCCCUAGCGAAAUUGUAUGAGAGAGGCCGCAAUCUUUUUGAUACGCUUGCUACUUGUAAGAAAGGCUGAGAACUUAUCGGCCAAAUUUGAGAAUAAGACUAUAGAGCUAGGCUCCAAUGUUGAGAACCAAUCCCUAGUAGCAUUAGUCAGCGUUUGCGGGAAGGCUUUGCACAUAACUUGUUCCGGCGCAACCUGCAAGUUCAUGACAUCGUUGUAUACAUUGAGAUGGUUGAUUGGGUCGAUCGUCCCAUCAUACUCUUUGAUGCGAGGAUAUUUAAAUCUGUUGGGCAGGGGAUGUGAUAAUAUCUCCAGCAUGAAUGGAGUGUUAGGGGUAAAACCCAUUUGCCCCCGAGCAUUCCAUUGCAAGCUAGUUGUUAUCCCUUCCUAAAUGAUCUGGGCAAUUUCACCGGAAUCCAUAGCAACCGAUCUCGAGCUCGAGGCUAUAUUACGGACACCCGAGGUCCCUACUCCUCCUUCGCCAGUUCCGGGGUUUGGUGCUCAAGCUCGAGCAUCGGUCAUAAAACCACAAUGUUAUGCCUGUACCGAUGACGGAUGCAAAUUUCUUUGACUUAACAGCUGAGUUAGCGUGGCCACCUGCUGACGGAGCUCUUCUAAGGCUCCAGUUGUUAUAACUGUUAGCUGGGGUGCGGGUACUCCCGACGACUCUUCUUGAGGAGUCGGUUGAUCUUUAAUAAGAUGAGGGUUGGGAGCGGAUAAGCUUGCCGGAGGAAAACCUGAUUGCGUGUUAACUAUGGCUUUUGGUAGUAUUUCCCACAGACGACGCCAAUAAUGCUACAAAAAAAUUGUACCUGAUGGUUUCCUGAGCUGGGGGAUUUUGAAUGAGCAUGAUCGUAGUCUUUCGGUACUUGAAACAAAGGCAACGAGGUAUGUUUUCGUCGCCCCUUCAAUACUUAAGUUAGAAAGGGAAUUAUAUGUGUGAGGCUAUAAACUGGAAAAAUAAUGAAAACAUACCUGAAUAAUGUCCAAGGUUGGUAUUUAUAUGGGUAGGUAGUACAUUCCUGAUAGAAUUGGAAUGGGUGGAUGUUUUUAUCCGAUAGAGUCCUGUUUGUGAGGAAUGUCCUACUCGUAAUGAAACAAUUUGACUAGUGGUGUUAAUAGUUGAUAUAGAGUCCUUGGGGGUUUAGGUGUCUGUUGGUUGGGCAUAUACAUCUCGACGAUCUCUUAAUGAACAAUGACCCGAGGACAUAUUCUCGAGGAUAGUAAGAGGUGAGUUUCAUGGUCGUAUGAGCAAAGUCCUGGGGAUAAAAUAAUCGAGGACAAACAUAUCUCGAGGUCUUCUUAACCAAAAAGUGAGGCAGAGCAUGUAGGUAGCCCUCGAGGAAAACAAUCCUCGAGUAUGCAAUAUUGGUAUUAUCAGUAACCUAAUCAAAUGAAUUAUAGCUGGCAUCACAAUCCAAGAGAUUUAUUAGAAAUUUCGAGGUGGACUCUCGAGAGCUUCUUUGAAAAAUCACACUGUUUUAAUAAAUAGAAUGAGAGUCUCUUUAAAUCUAUGCAUAUACUUAGUCUAGUUCGAUGCCGUUGUGCUAUAUGUUGAGUCUAUCCAAAAGUUGAAAAUCGUAAUAUAAUUUUCAUAUUUGAGAAAAUUCUUCGAAGAAUUAGGUAUACCGAACGGAAUGGUAGUUGAAUUGACAGGAAUUGAAGCUGCCAAACUGUAGGCAGUGGACAAAGACUCAAAGGUAGUAGUCAUUUUCAAGUUCAAAGGGAUUUUCAGCUAACAUGCUAUAAAUUUUAUAAAUUCCAUCGACUUUCCUCAAAUUUACUCAAAAAAUUUCACUUCUAAUUACGAAAGGUUUUAUUUUGAAAAAUUUCUCAUCUUUUUUUUUUUUCGACAACACAAUCACAAUAUAAUAACUUUUUAAGACAAAAUAUUCGUCGUUAAAUGUAAAACAUGCCCUUUUGUUUGCUUGUUUUGGCAGUUGCAUGCAUCCUUCCCUUCUAUUUCCUCGACAACAAUGUUUUCCUGGUUAUUUUGCCACUCGAGAAAUUAUACAUGAUAUUCACAUGAGACAAUCCCUACAUGUGAAUAUGUGAUGCAUGCUUUGUUAGGCACGUUUCUUGUUUGCUUGUAAGAAAAAACCAUCCCAACAAGCUAACGAAUAAAGCGAAAACGAAAAAUAAGAGCGAAAAUGAAAAAUGAGUGAAAGCGUGAAAAUAAAAAUUCUGUACUUGAGCAAAUUUGACUAGAGGAGAGCCAAUUUACCAUUUAAUUUCAAUUAUAAACUUUCGUCAUUCGCUCUCACAACUUUUCUCUACAUUAAUCGAAAAGGUAGGAUGCAAAUACUUUUCUUUUUCUUUAUUCUGCUUUUACUUCUCUCCCUUCAACAUUGGCUGCCCUAUAUUAUUCUUAUUUCAGAGUCAUGUUGGUGAUUAUGUAGAUUUAUGUACAAUUCUUCCUCAUGUAUAGACAAUUCACUAGUUGCAUUAUUUUCUUCGAAUCGUCAGAAAUAAAAAUAUUUUUUAUUUUUUCGAUGAGAAAUUCCAGCCUUUUGUCUUCCCUUCUUUUUCUUUUUGAUUUCACUUAUUUCCCUUGCCAAUGACAAAAUAAUAUUUAUUUGCUCUUUAGAGAAAAUAAAUGCAUUUUGUAAGGAAGUGGCCAUUUUGGCUUCAUACAAAAACAAAAAGUGAAUUGAAGGAAGGGACGUGAAGCAAUCGUUUCCCUCAAUUAUCCAGCCAUAUACAGAUGGGUGUUCCAUCCCCAUGGGCCACGGCACUCUCUACUCAUUCAAAAGUAACACAAUAUCAUUAAUAAAGAUGCACCAUCGAUUAGAUGUUAUUAUCCAAUAUAUUUGAGUGAAUUACAAUUGAUACAAUGAAUAAGGAGAUUAAUUGUCACAUAAUGAGUGAUACAACAUCAUUCCAAAUACAAUGAUAUAUAACAAAUUUAAUGUUUAAUUAUGUCAACAAUUAGUCGGUAGUUAUUAACCAAUGUUUUAUGAGGAUGUAAAUACGGAAAGACAAGGUUCAUCAUAGUUGAUUAAGUAAUCGACACUCCAUUUAUGAGGCUAUUGAGCCGACCAAGGACUUGUUUGGUGAGGAUUAAAAUAUGAUUUUAAUCUAAAUCAAAGUCAAACGAUCAAUAUGAACAUCUUUCAUGAGUUUCACAACUUUUCAACCACAUAGUUCAAGAACUUCUAUCACAUCUACUAAAAAAUCUAAUUUUAAUCCCCACCAAAUACCCUCCCGAUAUUUCAAGCCAACCAGACUACAGUAAUCGAGUUCUAUAAGUGACUUCAUAACAUAGUCACAUCUCACCUCACAUUCCUACAAUUUUAUAUAUGUAUAUACUGUCAUUAUGAGGUAUGUUACAUAUUUCAUCAAAGGAAAAUUUUUGAUGUACAUUAUGAAUAUCAUAAUGCACACAUGGCGCCCCUAUUGGGACCAAGCACAUCUCUUCAUCAAAACCAAAAUCUAUCAUUCUAUCUUUCUGUACCUAAUUUUGAUUUUGACUUGAACGAUGGAGUAUCUAUGGCUAUUGCUCCACCUUCCAUGAAAUGGCUGUGCAUUCUAAAGUGUUAUGUUAGGGGAUGUCUGUGCCCCAUUAUUUGUAAAUAAUGUAUUAUGGAAUAGUGAUUGAUGUUGAAAUGUGUGGUUAAAAAAGAAUAAAAAAAAUUCUGAGUUAUGUAUAAUAUUAUUUUAAUGAAAAAUGUAUGAUUACAAAUGAGUACUGUAGAAAAAAAUAAUGUGAUGGAAUAGUAGACAAACAAAGCCAGACAGCCGGUGUAUAAUAUAAGUGUACAAAAAUUAGUACAAUUUUAAAGUCAAUAUUAUUUUUGUGUAGAGAUCUCGACUUUUAACAACUUGAUGGACACUAAUAAAUGAUUCAGAAACGAACACGACAGUAUAUUGAUAAUUUGUUGGCACAGAAGUUUCAAAAAUGAACUGUUAGUUCGCUUCGAAAAGAAUAUCAAAAAUGAACUGUUAGUUCCCUUCGAAAAGAAUAUCAUUCCACCAAACUUUUUAAUGCACUAGGACUUGAUUGCCAUUCUUGUAAAAGAGAAGGACGUAUAGGUCCCCUAAAUUGCCAUUAAAAAAAAAAAAAAAAAAAAAAUCACCUUUGAAGUAGCACUUUCUGUUUAGCUUCCCACACCGCGUUGUUACUGGGAAACUUGAAACUCGUUUUGACCCAGCAGCCAUUGAAAACUCAUGUGAAUAUGUAACACGACAAUCACAUUAUUUUUAAAUAACCAAUUAAGAAAAUUAGUGACUUUGUGGUCGGUGAUGUCAUUUUUUUGUCAUAUCUCUAUAUCUCUCUAUAUAUACCAAUUUCACUAUACGUAUACCCCAGUUCACGAUCAGCCUCUGAAUUCUGUAACCUCCCUAGCCUCUUCGAAAGAAAACGCCCACUGAAAGAAAGGAUAAAUUCGGGAACCCACCAAUUGAAAUCAAGAAUCAUAGAUGGCACUGACUAAAGAAAUCAUGGGCUUUUCUUUAAUGCAGAAAUCUUCAUUUCUUGGUUCAUCAAAUUUUCUUGUAUAUCGAAAGCACAACCAGUUCUGUUUUAAUACGGUUCUGGUUCCUGCCAAAAGAAAGAGAUUUCAGGAGAAAAGAGCAUCAAAGGUUCCUACUCUUGUCGCUGCAAUCAGUGAUAAGUUGGAUUUGGUAAAAGUGGUGCCUGAUAAAGCGGUGAAAUUCAAGGUCAGAUCAGUUGUUACUGUAAAAAAUAAGCACAAGGAAGAUUUUAAGGAGACCAUAGCCAAGCGUUGGGAUGCUUUCACUGACAAAAUUGGGAGAAAUGUCGUGUUGGAACUUAUUAGCGCAGAUAUUGAUCCAAGUAAGCCAUUUUCUACUGCUGUAAUUUUAAGAAUUUUUAUGGGUUUUUACUAAGAAGUUAUUGUUUUUAUUUUUCUCUUAUUUUCAAGAAACCAAGGGACCGAAGAAAAGUAAUCAAGCUGUGUUAAAGGACUGGUCAAAAAAAUCAAACCUUAAAACCGAAAGAGUUAAUUACAUUGCAGAAUUUCUGGUGGAUUCAAAUUUUGGAAUUCCAGGGGCAAUCACAGUGAUAAAUAAGCACCAGCAAGAGUUUUUCUUGGAGAGUAUUACCAUUGAAGGUUUUGCAUGCGGUCCAGUUCAUUUUUCCUGCAAUUCAUGGGUUCAGUCCAGGAAAGACCAUCCUGGAAAGAGAAUAUUUUUCUCUAAUCAGGUAUUAAUUUUUUUUUUUUUCCGUUUCAUUGUUUGAUUUUCAAAGAGAAUAUUUUUCUCUAAUCAGGUAUUAAUUUUUUUUUUUCCGUUUCAUUGUUUGAUUUUCAAAGAGAAUAUUUUUCUCUAAUCAGGUAUUAAUUUUUUAUUUUUUUUUCCAUUUUAUUGUUUGAUUUUCAAUUUUCCAGCAAUUCAAGAUUUGACACAUUAAAGUCCUGUAAAAUCUUCAUUUGACAAUAAAUUCUAAGGUUGAAUAAUUCUGGAGACAAACUACUGCUGAAUUGAAGUAGAUCUGGCAUCCAAUAGUGACUCAUAAUAUUUUUAUUAAUAUAACAACUAUUUGAAAAGUGAAUGUUUGCAUUUCAAUCAAAGCACAAUUAUUUUAUUUUAUUUAUUAUUAUUUUUUUGGGGGAAUUUUAUGCAUGGUAAUUUCACCACCUUCCUAUUUUGAUUUUAUUUAUUUGUAGUUACAAAGCAUUCUAGUUGGGAUUAGAUAUUUAUCUGAUUGAUUUGUUUUUAUUUUGAAUUUUCUAGCUAAAGUUCAUAUUUAGAACACAAAGGAAGUUAGAUAGCCUUUUCUUGAUAAAGUAGAAUCUUUGGUCUCUGAGCAUUACAAGUUAUUCCACAGGAUGAAAAGGGGACCAUGCUGGAUAACAAGAACCAGUUAACUCUUGCAUUUUAAAUUGAGCAGCAAGCAUAUUAAUAUAUUCUUGUUAUUUUUGAACAGCCAUAUCUUCCCAAUGAAACACCAGCAGGGUUGAAAGCACUAAGAGAAAGGGAGCUUAGAGAUCUCCGGGGUGAUGGCCAGGGAGAACGAAAGUUGUCCGAUAGAAUAUAUGAUUUCGACAUUUAUAAUGAUCUGGGGAAUCCUGACAAGGGAAUUGAUUUUGUUCGACCGACACUUGGGGGUGAAAACAUCCCAUAUCCCAGACGCUGUCGCACUGGACGCCCUCCAACUGACACUGGUUAGGCUAUGUCCUAAACUGAUUCUCUAUAACUCAAUUGGCUUUCAUGAAAUAUGCAUGCUUGUCUAAUAUAGAUAGUUUAUGGGAUCUCAAGUAUUUCUAUGUGUAUGUUGAAGAGAUUGAUGUUAUCGUAUUGCUUAAUUAGUAUUUCUUGCACGUAUCAGAUUUUAAUGCUGAGAGUAGAGUGGAGAAGCCAUUGCCAAUGUACGUGCCCAGAGACGAGCAAUUUGAGGAGUCUAAAAUGAAUGCUUUCUCAACUGGGAGAUUGAAGGCAGUGCUUCACAACCUAAUACCGUCAUUAAUGGCUAGCAUCUCAGCUUCUAACCAUGAUUUCAAGGGGUUUUCUGAUAUUGAUAGCCUUUACAGUGAAGGCCUACUUCUGAAACUAGGACUUCAGGAUGAGCUCUCGAAGAAGAUCCAAUUGCCUAAAGCUGUCAGCAAAAUACAAGAAGGGGGUCUACUUAAAUAUGACAUUCCAAAAAUUAUCUCAAGUCAGUAUCUCUCCUUUCAAUCUUCAGUUUUUUCUGAAAAAGCUGAAAUUAGACAGUCUUAAAUCAUUUGUGACUAAUCCUUACACUCCCAUUAAGAGACAUAGUAGCCAAUUGAAGUGAUUAUAGUUGGUAAUUAAUUAUGAUGCUGGUGUGACAUGGGUACACUUUCAACCUUCUACUUUUCCUUCGUAGUUCAUAAGCUGUCUAAACUCAUUGAACAUACUAGAAGCUACUAGUGUAGUAGUAUUCUGAUUUCUUUUGAAUACAGUAGCAUCUAAAUUGUGAGUGUCUGUGCAGAGUUUUAAAUGCCGGUGCAAUAGAAAAAUACUAACGUCUUGUGUGCAUGCCCACAGAGGACAAAUUUGCAUGGUUGAGAGACGAUGAAUUUGGCCGCCAAGCAAUAGCAGGUGUUAAUCCUGUGAACAUAGAGAGGCUUCAGAGUUUUCCACCAGUCUGCAAACUUGACCCUGAAAUCUAUGGACCACAAGAAUCUGCUCUCAAAGAAGAACACAUUGUUGGGCAUCUCAAUGGGAUGACCGUGCAAGAGGUAAAACUUAUUUUAAAUAAAUUAGAAAAUACUUUCGAUAUAAAUCAUAGAUUAGUAGUACAGACCAGGUAGAGUGCAUAUAAAGUGUAAACCUAUGUCAAAUAAAUCACUUUAUAUAUUUUCAUCCAAAGUCAAUACCUUGUGUAACAUUUUCUACCUCAUAAAGACAAUUGAAUUAAUUGUGGUCCUCGUUGUGUACAGCGUUUUCCAUCAUCAACCUAACAUUAGAUUUUUCUUUUCUUCGCUACACUUGCAGGCUUUGGAGGCAAACAAGCUAUUUAUCAUAGAUUACCAUGACAUUUACCUACCAUUUCUUGAUGGCAUUAAUGCACUUGAUGGCCGUAAAGAAUAUGCCACGCGUACCAUAUUUUUCUUGACCGAUUUGGGCACUCUGAAACCCAUUGCCAUAGAGCUAAGCCUCCCACCAACAGCUCCAAGUUCUCGUUCAAAGCAGGUGGUUACCCCGCCAGUAGAUGCCACCACUGAUUGGAUGUGGAAGUUGGCUAAAGCCCAUGUUUGUGCUAACGAUGCCGGUGUCCAUCAACUUGUCAACCAUUGGUACGUAUGUGAAAAAUCCUUAGUUCCACUGUCUAUAGAUGGACCAUCACUGGCUAGAGUAAAAUAAUUUACUUCGCAUAAUGAUUUAGUAUUAAGCAAACCGCGUGAUCGAUGCAGGUUACGCACACAUGCAACAAUUGAACCAUUUAUAUUGGCAGCUCAUAGGCAAUUGAGUGCAAUGCAUCCCAUAUUUAAGCUUUUGGAUCCCCACAUGAGAUACACAUUGGAGAUCAAUGCCUUGGCUCGACAGAGCUUGAUUAGUGCAGAUGGUGUAAUUGAAUCUUGCUUCACUCCUGGCCGUUACUGCAUGGAAAUCAGUGCUGCUGCCUAUAGGAAUUUCUGGCGCUUCGAUUUGGAAGGCCUCCCAGCCGAUCUCAUUAGAAGGUAACUAAAGUCAAAAGAAUACUUCAUAGCUCUUUUUGUUUCCACUUGAUCAUUUUAUGAAGUCCUAAAGCACGACCUUUCUUUCAUUCAGAGGAAUGGCAGUACCAGACCCUACACAACCGCAUGGGCUAAAACUACUAAUCGAGGACUAUCCCUAUGCAACAGACGGGCUAAUGAUCUGGACCGCAAUUGAGAAUUGGGUGCGUUCAUACGUCAACCAUUACUACCUGGACUCGAGCCUAGUCUGUAAUGACAAGGAGCUCCAAGCCUGGUAUGCCGAGUCCAUCAACGUGGGCCAUGCAGAUCUUCGUCAUGCAGAUUGGUGGCCGACAUUAGCCACACCAGAGGACCUCACAUCAAUUCUUACUACAAUAAUCUGGUUAGCAUCCGCACAACAUGCUGCUCUAAACUUCGGCCAGUACCCCUAUGGUGGCUAUGUCCCUAACCGGCCACCACUGAUGCGCCGACUACUUCCAGACGAAAAUGAUCCUGAGUACGCCAUAUUCCAUGCGGAUCCACAAAAGUACUACUUCUCAGCUCUGCCGAGUUUGUUACAAGCAACGAAAUUCAUGGCUGUGGUUGACACAUUGUCAACUCACUCACCUGAUGAAGAAUACCUAGGGGAGAGACAUCACCAAUCCAUUUGGUCCCGGGAUGCUGAGGUCAUCGAAUCCUUCUACGAGUUCUCGGCUGAAAUUAGAAGGAUAGAAAAGGAAAUCGAGAAAAGAAAUGUCGAUUCAACACUAAGAAAUAGAAGUGGUGCUGGGGUGCUACCAUAUGAGCUUCUUGCACCCAGUUCUGGUCCAGGUGUAACAUGUAGAGGUGUUCCUAAUAGUGUGUCCAUAUGACUAUAGAUAAAGAUUGUAUCCAGGUUAACCUGUGAGACGUGUAAAUUUGAUGAUGCCUCACAAUGGCACCAUGUACGUACUAAGAUUUUCAGCGGAUAUGUAGAAAGAAGUAAUUAGAUAAUUAUAUUUAUUGAUAUAAAUUGUAUGUCAAACCUCAUUGAUUACAAAUACAUAACGAUAAAUGCUGAAAUAUGACCGAUAAAAAAUUAGAGAAAAGGCUUCAAACUUACUUUUAUUAAUCAAAACAACUAACAAUGAAAUCUAAAAUGUUUCGAAGGACAGGAGUGGGGUUGUUUCAACUUUGCUGACAGUUUCAAUGUGAGGAUUUGAUUUCUCAGGUAUGAAAUUGAACUUUUUGUGGGUAUCAGUGGUACAGGUGAGUUCUUGUUUCCUAGCAUGUUGGGACACAUUUCGCGAUUUUUCUUUUUCACGAUGCUUCAAGAAUGGGACAGUGGGGCCUCCAUGUUGGGGUUUAACCUUUUAAAAAUGAAAUCUAAAAUAGUAAAAUAUUAUGAAUUUAUUUUUACAAAAAUUAAGUGAUAAUUCCAUAUUUUAAUAUAGAUAAUAAUAUUAUAAUUUAAUUUAUAUACUCAGACCCUAUUCCCAUCCAAACUCUCAAUCAUUUUAUCUGUCCUUACUCGCCCUUUCUCUCCUCUCCUCCUCUUUCCUCUCCUUUCUCCCUAACACAUGGACCAGUCGGAGACCACCUCCGAGCGUCGCGCAAAGAAGCCCGAGCACAUUGAGUCAUUGAUGAUGACACCAUUGUGCAUGGCUCUGCACGUCGUUGCUACAACGACGCUGAGGAAAACAUCGUUGAAGCUGCACUCAAAUCUGUUGGUGUUAGUUGGCGAUUUGUUGGUGCUAAGAUCUGUUGGUGAUUGCUCUGUAGCAACGACGCCCUCUCUAUUUUGUUGGUUGUUGCGGCGGCGGUGGUUUUCAUAUUUUGGUGUUGUAGGGGUUUUGGGGUGAUUUUUAAUGGUGAUGAUAUUGGCAGAGACAACAGUGAUCACAAACAACGGUGGUGCGUAUGGUGUUAGUGGUGAUCAUUGUAAGAUAAGUUCUGACCGGUAAAAGUUAUGAUACCCGAUUGAGAAAUGAUACGUGACAAAUUGAUUUGAUAAUUUGUGAUUGUAAAAUAAGUUGUGACCAAUCAAAUUUGUGAUUUAUAACUGAGAUAUAAUACAUGAUAUAUUAAUUUGAUAAUUUGUGAUAUGUGAAAAAAGAAAUAACUCGUGAUCAUAAUAUGAUAAUUUAUGACUGUAAAAUAAGGUGUGACCUGUAAAAUUUGUGAUAUGUGAUCGAGAAAAAUAUGUGGUCUAUUAAUUUGAUAAUUUGUGAUCGAUAAAAAAAUUGUGAUUUAUAAAAUUUGUGAUUUGUAGUUGUAACGUUUGUAAUUGUGACUAGUACGUAAUUGUAAUAAUAAAUUGUAUAAUGUGGUGACCUUAAUAUAUUUAGCCCUUAUUUGAUCUCCAUUCUUCUAAAAAUCUAUUUUCUCUGGACUUAUUUUUAACCACAUAUUUUUCAAUAAAAUAAUAUUACACAUAAAUCUAAUAUUUUUCUUUAAUUUUGAACCACACAUUAUUUAUCAAUCUACUAUUCAAAAUGCAUUCUUUCCUCCAAAACGAGGCUCAAACAAUGGCUUGAUUAAUAAAAUCUAACUAAGACCUGAUCUUUAAAAUAAUAAACUAAUCUCUUAUUUUUGAAAUUGUAUGUAUUUUGCAACCACCUUAUAUAUGAACUAAUCCAAAACAUUUUGGAGGGCACGGAUUAAGUGGAAAUUACAAAAAUCCCGACUUUUAAAGAUAUCAGUGCAAAAUUGAGGUGAGAUGGUUUUUUAUACAGAUUUCAGGUAUUAAUUUAAUUAUUAAUAUUAAUACAAAAUAUUUUAAUUCGGCCCUAAAAUUCAUUUCACAUAGCAAUCAGCAUCUUUUCUCCUCACUUGCUCCCGUUAACCCACGGUGCCGCCGCCCAUAGUCGGAAAGAGCCUUUCACGUCGUCCUGCAGCGAUGCUUUACCUUUCACGUUGUCGCUUCGUCAGCGACGGUCGCUCGUCGUUUUAAGGCACUUUGCCGUUUCAACGCAGCACAGAAACCACUGUCGCGAGGUUUGGAUUGUGUUUUGUGUAGUGUGGUGUGGUGUUUACGGUGUUGUAGUGGUGGAUCUGGGGCAACUGUUACCAUUUUUUGAUCUGUGAUUUCGACGAUUGGGGGUGGUCUGCAAACGGUUUCUCUAUCCACCGUGGAUGUGGGUAGCUUGGUGACUUCAUGCGGUGUCGAGUGCAAUGGAUCUAGGUAGGACGGCGGUGGUGGAGGUCUGGUUGUGGUCGACGUUUGGUGGUGGUUUUGAAUGUAUUGGUGCGUUGUGGAUGGUGAUGAUGGUUAUUGAUGCAGGUGGUGGAGGUGGCCGAUUUGUGGUAUGUGUGCGAUUUUGUUGGUGCAAUGUGGGUAGAAGUCAAUUCUGUUGGUGCGAUGUGGGUGGUGGUGUAGAGUGCGGCGGCGGCGGUUGUGGUGAUGCAAGUUGGUGGUUUUGGUUGAUUGUCGGUAUUUUUUCUUCUUUUUUUAGUUGUUGGUGGUCUGUGACCUUAAAAUUUGAUGGUCUGUGACUAAAAAAUAAUAUGUGACCUCAACGAUCUGGUUUGUGACUUUAAAAUUUGAUGAUCUGUGACUUCAACGAUUUGGUCUGUGAUUUUAAAAUUUGAUGAUCUGUGACUAAAAAAUAAUCUGUGACCCAUAAAAUUUUUAAUUUGUGAUCUCGAAAUAAUCUGUGACCUACAAGAUUUUUCAUUUGUGACCUCGAAAUAAUAUGUGAUCAAUUAAUUUGAUGAUAUGUGACUUUUAAAAAAAUCUGUGACCAUUAAUUGUUUAAUCGUGACUUUAUUAUAUUUAUUUAAUAAAUAUUUUUAAUUAAUUAAAUCUAAACCUGAAUUUUGAAUUUUCAAACAUUUUACCUGAAUUUUGAAAUGGUGUAAAGAAUACACGUUAAAUAUGAAUUUUUCCCAUGGAUUAAUUUGGUUAAUGGUCAAAGCCCAAGCCCAAAUAAUAAAACUUUGGAUGCCCUAUUAAACUUUGUCAUCUCGGCCCAUUGGCUCUACGCUUACGGUCAUAGCCAAGGCCCACCUAAUGAAACCUGAAUUUGAUUGAGGAAAUUAGGCCCAAUAUGACAUUUAAGUUUGAAAAUUGAUUGAUACAGCAAAAUUUAGCUCCCGUUUGGUUCCGAUUUAUCAAACCGAAAAAUCAAUUUUUUAACCAUUACUUCCAGCAGUCAGUUGUCAAUUUUUAUUUUUUCACUCAAAGAUGGGACAUACUUUUCUCUCUAACAGUCAAAAAAUUAAUUCUCAUAAUCACUACUUAACAAAUCCUUAAUUUUUUUUCAUCAAUCUUUGAUAUAACUGUAUAUUAUAUGUUCAACUCAAAACCAAGCCCUAAUCCACUCAUUACUGCCACACGACUAGAAGUGAUGAAUCAAACGAGAUUCAGCCCCAUUGAUCAUGACCAUUGGCACCAUUAGAAACGCUUAGACCUAUGGGUGAAAAAGGCGAUAAUAUUGUUCAUGCAUCAAAGGUAAAGAAGAGAAAGUGCGGUAGAGUUGAAGGAACUUCAAUGAAAAAGAGAAAUCUUGCUCCACAAGCUUGAGAACCUAAGGUUAAACUCUAUUUGCUUAUUUGCAAAUCUGUUUAUGGCUUCGAAUGUGUCUUUGAAUUGCUCUAUUGUGCUCAAUUGUUUUUGUAAGUCUAGGCUUAAUUGAACUUGUUCUCUUGAAAAUCUUAACCGGUGCUCUUAUUGAUAGAUUGGGUUUUCAAAAAAGAAAAAGAAUACAGAUUGUAUAAAGAUGUAAUUCA
rnacentral:lncRNA from 1 species